rnacentral:lncRNA from 1 species
UCUGACUAGGUCCGUGCAUCCCCAUAUGGGCUCAGCUUAGGACCCAUGUAAUCAUCGGCCCACCACCGCGUAGUUACACGUCACAUACAAUGUAAUCAUAUAGUGGAAUAACUAUUUUCGAACAACUCAUUUUCAAGCAAUCUAUAAGGUUUUCUAGCAGAACCAAGGGUGUAUCUGACUAGGUCGGUGAAACUGCAUAUGGGCCACGCUAAGGGCAUAUGUAUCCGUAGCGCACCAUGCAUGUUUACUCGCAAAAUAUAUUAAAGUUAUGGUGUGGCAUGACUAUUCAUCGACGAUGUGGUGGGAAAAUUCGUCCAAUUUUCAAAUGGGCAUUUAACAAGAGUGAUGAUGUUGAGUUCAGUAACUCUUAUAAGUGGCAUCUAAUAAGCACAUUGUUCCUUAUAUUAAUGAUCGCUCUGUGAUGGCAUUGAACCAUACCCCGAGAAGGGAGCACAAAACAAGGGUGGAUAAGAUUUUUUUUUUUGAAAGCACGAAAUGCGAUGAAAAAAAGAAGACACUACAAUUGCAGGCGGGGUCGUGAAGUAGUAGAAAAACUCAUGUAAAAUUCAAGUACAAGGUACACGCGGAUGGCCAUAUUUCAAGAUGGUUAAAUGAUAUAUUCACCACGGCAGAGUUUGUUGGAAUAUAUGUAUGAGUUGGAUUGCAUUUGAAAUUCUAAUUAGUGAUGGGUUGAAGUGAAUCAAAUACGUGUAACGCGGUUCUAACAUACGAAGACACCGCAUGGUAAUCAAAUAGAGUAGAGAAAAAAAAUAGAACUAGACACAAGAUCAUGAACCACAGAAUAGCCGCGAGACUGGACUGGCCAAGGCGGAGGUUAAAGACGUGAAGGUUCUCGGCGGAUUCCCUCGCACCAUCUAUACAUGGGGAGGAGCCGGUAGUAAAAGAUCCAAGAUUGCAACGGCAAUGGUAAACCUCGUUAAAAAAAAUAUAAAGCCAUCUUUGGAACAUAUGAAUUUUGAAAAAAAUAGUUAGAGGAUUCUGAUCUAUGGUACAAUUGCCAGAAAAAAAAUUAGAUCAUAGGAUUACACAAUAGAUUCCACAUGAUAGGAAUUUUUCCUUCAAAUUUUGGGGAAUCCAAACACGUUCCAGGAGCUAAGCGACGGUAAACAAAAUGUGGCUGAACCAUGACCGCGAGGGAACUCUGCAGCGGCACCGGCCUACUCGGUGUCCCGGAGCCUCUUUAAUAUUUCGGUUUUGCUAUGCCCAACUCUUCUAAAUUUUUAGUGAAGAAUGGUUUAGCCGUUGGAUCUAGUUUGUUGUGCAUUAAAGUGCGGAACAAACAACAGAGAAAUGAGAGUAAGGAUGACGUACAGACUGCUGAGUGAGACUUUAACCGUCUUGUCCGAGAAUCAGGACACGUGAGGCAUACCAGCGUACACACAUAAUUUUUCAACUACUAGUAAAAUCUGAAUAGCAACAACAAAUACGGCAAGCUAAUAAAUUUCUUGGUGCACAGAAUGCACGGAUAUUAGAGUAAACACUAUAAUCCUCGCAGGAUUUGGAUGAAAUUCUCCAGUCACUUACAAAUCCAUACGAAUCACAGCUAGUGCCACAGUGACAGCAGCGAGUGAGAUUAACAACAGAAUACAAGAAGUGCAGCAGUGGCAGCAGCGCAAAUCAGCCGCGGAAGGAGCUGUCCUCCGGCCGGCGCCUGGGCCCCGGCAGACAAGAACCCGUAGUGCCCGGGCGGCACGGGGGUGUAGAUCCCCGCGGCCGGCGGCGGCGGCGGCGUCUUCUCGCAAUUGCACGGCGGCGGGGGCGCGGUGAGGCGCGCCGACGGCGACGGCGGGGGAGGAGAGUAGUAGUAGAACUGCUGCACCAGCGGCGGCGGCGGCUGCGCGGCGGCCGGCCGCGGCGACGGCGAGAAGACGAGGAGCAGCAGCAGCAGCAGGGGGAGGAGGAGUUGUUGGUGGGGGAAUGCCAUGGGAGCUGCGAGAUUUGGGCUAACGGUGAAGUGAACCUGAACUACUAGCUCGAGUACUUGUACUGCAGGCUUUCGCUUUUGACUUCGAGAAGCGUGUUCCCCUUCGCACUAUUGACAUCUACGAGGUGGCGCGAUGGGCCUCGGGGAAGGCUGGGAUCUGGUCCGUUGGUCACGCCAAUAGCGGUCUGUGUAUCUGACGGCGGGUGAUGGAUGAAUACAGUAGCGUGGGUGUUGGUCGGUCGGCUCAUCGGUUUUUUUCGUCGGUGGAUCAGACCAAGCUAGGGCGCGUGUCACGCACAUGUGCCACCGCCCCCGAGGCCGCUGCGCCUGCGCAUCCAGCCAGUACGUACGGGCGUCAGCGUGAGGCGCCUAUGCGAUGCUUUUUUGGUUGCAGACGCUUGUACGCUUGUCGUCAUUUCUCCUCUUGCAGGACACGGAUCGACACGUUCAUGCACAGAUAAGGGUGACUGGACGCCAGCCAGGACACGCCUUUGCAGACCUAUUCAGACGCCAGCCAGGACACGCCUUUGCAGACCUAUUUAGAGCUCUUCUUCCAUGGUGCACCAGAAUUAAUACGAACCGUUCGUUUUCUUCGUCUAACGGCUCAGAUUGCUUGCUACUCUUUGAUACUUCAACUUGAGCAUUCGGAGUAUCCGGAUGGAGUACUAAGAAGGCAGGGGUACAUGCGUAAUCUAACCGUUGCAAACGAAAAAAAGAAGACGUACCGAGGUUGCUGGGAGGGGGCUGCGCCGGCGUGCCGAGUUGAGGACGGCGUAGGAUGCUGUGAGGCCCGCGACGGUGAGCUGCGCGGAGGGCGGCGGGCAGCACGCUGCAGGAGGCCGACGGGGCCGCUGCGAGGUCCGCGACGGCGAAUUGCGCGAAGGGCCGCGGCGGUGCGUUGGAGGAUGGCCGACCACGGAGGCGCAGCUGCGAGGUCCGCGACGGCGAAUUGCGCGAAGGGCCGCGGCGACGCGUUGGAGGAUGGUCGGCCGGCUGCGGCGGUGCCGACGGCCUUUGCGAGGGCCGCGGAGGCGCAGCUGCGAGGUCCGCGACGGCGAAUUGCGCGAAGGGCCGCGGCGACGCGUUGGAGGAUGGCGGCCGGCUGCGGCGGCGCCAGCGGCCUUUGCGAGGGCCGUGGAGGCGCUAGAGGAGGGCGCCGGAGGCCGCUGUGAGGGCCGCGACGGCAAAUUGCGCGAAGUCCGCGGCGGCGCGUUACAGGAUGGCCAGCUGGCUGCGGCGGCACCGGCUGCCCCUGUGAGGGCCCCGGCAGUGAUCUGGAGGAGGCCGGCGCUGGCGAGCGGCAUGGUGGGUGGCGGCAUCGCCGGAGGCCGAGUGACGCGAUCAGGAUCAGCAGCCAACAGGAACGCGAUAGGCAAGGAAAAAUCUGACAUUAUUUUGAUUUUUAAUGUGAAAAGACUAUAAUACCCUUUCCAAAUACUCCAUUUAGUCCAAUGGAGUAUCAGGUACCCAAGAAACCACCUUUUGUUUGUUUGUGGCUUUCUUCUGUAACUAUUGCUCUUGAGCUAAACUGUAUUAGAAAACCCUAAUUUGGCCAUCAAUUUGGCUAACAGUGGUUUUGACCGUGGGUUAUAUCUAGUGGCGGAGGCAAGAUGUGAUGAAGACCAAGGCCAACUAUUCAUAAUAGUCUGAAAAGAACAAAUCAGAGAUGAAAACUGCUCAGGCCAAAUUCAAAAUCCUUCCAAAUUUACCAAGGAAAAACAUCUCACGCCCUAGGCCACAGCCCUGGCUGUCUGGGGCCUGUCUCCGCCCCUGGUUUUAUCCGUCGGAAUUAGAAUCAUAAAAAGGGCUUUGAUUUAGCUGGUCUAGUCCGGUUCUUGCAUGAUUCGGACUGGUUUGAUGCCUAGAGUCUUCUCCUUUGCAAGUCUGCGCAGCUUCGACCUUCAACCGCUCGCAGUCCAUACCAAUGGUGCUCCUCUCUGCUACCUCCCCCACCAAGACUUCCACCUCUCUCGCUCUUCUUCCAUGAUGAGUCAUCCUACUAGGCGCAACAGCACCGGAGCGAUGGGCUCCUCUGCUGAAGGGGCAAGAAGAUGAAGAGGGCGCAUGUCAGGCCGUGCGCGAUGGUAAUGCGGCCGUCCUCGUGGCCAGGGAAGAGGCCUCGUGUAACGACUUGUUAUUCAAGUUAUUCAAUGAGAAGGUCGCCAUUUUAUUUAUUCAAUGAGCUCCGUAACUUAAAUUUUACAACCGGCUUUAUAACUUCAAUGCCAAGCUAUUGUCAGUUUCCUUCGAACGUUCCUUCCUUUUUUUUUGACCGAAUAACAGUAGGAGAGGCUCCUACUGCGGUAUAUUAAUAAAUAAAAGAUAUGUAUAGGAUAUUACAUAAUUACAAAGUGGGACAAGCCCCAGAGAGGAAAACUAGAGGAAGUCUAAUACAGUGGUAAUCUCAAAGGACAGGUUUUGAGGCACCCUAAAGCCUAAGAGGAUGAGAUCAGCUUUCAGUCUAGCUCUCCAGGUUUGGAUGGUUGCUGGAGCUCCCUUGAAGAUUAAAUCAUUACGAAUUUUCCAGAUAUUCCAUGCAGCUAAAGCAAAGACCUCAAAGAAAAUGGGGCUGCCAAAAUUGAGUUUAAUCUCUGGGAGGAUAUCCAAACAGUUAGCCUCAAUGGGCCAAUAAAUCCCAAUUUGUAACCAGCACUCGGAGCUAAAAGGGCAAUUAAUGGACAAAUGAUUGAGGGUUUCUUCCACUUCAGCAUCACAAAGAGCACAGUUUAUGUCACCACCAACCAUGAAGUUCCUCCUGUUCAACAUAUUCCUGGUGUUAAGUCUGUCACUGAGUAGUAGCCAUGCAAAGACUUUAACCUUCAUUGUGACUUUAGACUUCCAGAUCCAUUUAAAUGGCCUAGGAACCUCAAGUGUUUUGAAACAAAAGGAAUAGAAUUUGCUAGAGGAAAAAGCACUGCCCCAAACAGGUUUCCAGAAGUCAUUUCUCAUAAUAGACAUAUCAGCAUCUGCAAUGGCCUGGUCAAGGAGCUCAAUUUCAGAGAAGGCUUCAGGGGACAAAGGUAUAUGGAAUGAAUCCUCCAGAUUGCCAAUGUUGCAGUAAUCAGCAAGGGAAAUGUCAACAUUUUUAGCAAAAGAGUAAAGACAAGGCCACUUCUCAGAGAGAGUUUCAUCAUCCCAAGUGUCCUUCCAUAACAGGAUAGUGUCUCCCCUCACAGGUUGGCAACAAGUGAUAUCACGAAAAAUAGGCAUUAAACUGAAAAUAGAUUUCCACCAAAAGGAGCCGACUGGAGUAGCAGCACGAGGAGCACCUUGUGGAUAGUAGGACUCCCAGAUGAGGUUAACCCAAGGGACAUCCAUCUUAUUAAUGAACUUAUCUAAGUGCUUCAGAAGCAGGCCUUGAUUUUGAACUCUUAGAUUGAUGACACCCAGGCCACAUUUAUCUUUAGGAUGACACACACGGUCCCAAGCAGCAAGGGAGUUACAAGAAUCACCAUUUGCAGGUUUUUUUUACUCCACAAGCAUCUUCUCCUGAUUUUGUCAAUUUGCUCAAUGAUCUUCACAGGGAGCUGAAGGGAGCACAUUGAUUAGGUGGCAAAUGAGGAGAGAACAGAGUUAACAACUAUAAGUUUGCCCCCAUAAGAGAGAAGGGCAGUUGUGCUGGACAUUCUCCUCUCAAUUCUGUCAACUAGAGGAAGAAAAUCAGAAAACAUAGGUUGAGUGGUACCAACAGGGAGACCCAAAUAGGUGAAAGGCAUAGAGCCCACUUCACAACCAAAAAUGCCAGCCAGGGCCAUUGCUCUUUUAAACUCCAGGUUGAUGGGAAUAAGGCUUGACUUAUGGAAGUUGAUCUUAAGUCCAGUGGAGUCAGCAUAAGCAACGAGAAGGUUCUUGAUGUGACUAAGUUGGGAGUCACAGGCAGGAUAGUAUCAUCAGCAUACUGAAUGACAGGAAAAUCCCCUUCUCUACUGAUAGGAGCCUGAAGAUUUCCAAGAGAAAACUUUUUAUUGAUGAUGGCUUGCAGUAAAUCAGCAGCAAGGACAAAGAGCAAAGGGAUAGGGGGUCCCCCUGUCUGACUCCUCUAAGGCAUUGGCACUUCUUGCCAGGCACACCAUUUAAAAGCACUGCAGAUUUCCCAGAGGAGAGAAUGGUUUUGAUCCAAGAGAUCCAUCUAUCAUUAAAGCCAAAAUGUUCAAGCAUCUUCAAAAUAACAUCAUGCUCAAUCAUGUCAAAGGCCUUUUCGAAAUCUAACUUGAGAAUGACUAAGGGUCUACCAGAGGAUUGGCAUUGGUGAAGAUAUUCAAAAGCCCAAGCCAGACAGUCCUGAAUAGAUCUACCUUUGAUGAAUCCAUAUUGGUUUCUAUGGACCACUUUCAGGAUCCAUUUUUGUAAUCUAUCAACAAUGAGCUUGGUCAGCAGUUUCAGACAACAGUUCAGCAAGGAAAUGGACCUGUAAUCAUUGAUUCCAACAGGGUUAAGCUUUUUAGGGAUGAGGGUGAUCAGAGAGGAGUUUAAGCUGAUAAGAUCAAUCUCCCCAUUUUGAAAAUCUCUGCAAACCCUGUAAAAAUCCUUGUCAAUAAUAUCCCAACAAACUUUGAGGAAGCAGCCAUUAAAACCAUCAGGCCCAGGAGCCUUGUCAACAGGAAGUUGCAUGAGGGCAUCAUCAAUUUGUUUGUCUGAGAAAGGUGCUAAGAGGAUAUCCAGUCCCUCAACCUUUUUAAUAAGCUGAGAGAGAUCAAAACAGAGAGCAUGAGGGGCAGAAUCCCCAAAUCUUUGUUUGUAAGCUUGAAAAAGAGCCCCAGCUUUGGCAUCAUGAUUGAUCACAAGGUUACCAUCAGGGAGUUGGAGAGAAGCAAUGGCAUUCCUGCGAUGUCUCUCAGUGGCCAUUCUAUGGAAAAACUUGGUAUUCAUCACCAAAUUUCACCCAUCUGAUAGUACAUCUCUUUUUUCAGUACUGUUGCUGAUAAGACUGAAGUCUAAGGAUGUGAGCUUUGAGAAUUGAUCUGAAGUUCCAUUUAGGAGUGGAGAGACAUCUAAUUUCCUCAAAACCAUCAAUAAAAGAAAGAACCUUGUUGCAGUUGGAGAUAAGGAGAGCCAACCUAGACAAAGAUUUACUCCAAUGCUUGAGGGCCCUUCUAACAUUUUUCAGUUUGGCAUUGAGGAUCAUAUCAGACUUGGAAGCUCUGACAGGGAUAGACCAAGCAGCAACAACCACCUCUUUGAAACCAGGGUGUUGAAUCCAAAAGUUUUCAAAUCUGAAAUUUUUUGCUCUCGGAAUUUUAGAUUCAACAGCAAUGAGAAGAGGGAAGUGGUCAGAAACAGGCCUAGCAAGAGCAGAAGCAGAGGUAUUUGGAAAAGGAUCCAGCCAGUUUGAAGAAGAAAAAAUCCAGUCAAGCUGCUCAAGCAAAGGAGGAUCUUGCAUGUUGCUCCAAGUGUAAACUGCACCAGCAAUAGGAAUUUCAGAAAGGGAGAGAACUCUGAUAAUGUCAUUAAAGAGCCACAUAUCAUCAAUAUUACCCCCCCGGUCUGUUUCUGUUUUCAGGUGACCUAAUGAAGUUAAAGUCACCAGCAAGAAUCCAAUUAUCGUCCGAAGAAAUCUCUAGUGCAUACAACCACUCAACAAAUUCAGUUCUUUUGUCCCAGAGCAAGGACCAUAGAUAUUGCAGAGCACCCAAGAAUCAGCAGAUUGAGUAGAAUUAAAUCGAAUCACAAUCGCCCAUUGCUCACUGAAUAAGACUGUGCCAUAAAAAAUGGCAUUAUUCCAAAUGGUGAUUAACCCCCUAGAGUUACCCUCACUAGGAACAAAAGAAAAUUUAUGAAAUCUUCGAGGGCAAAAUUUUCUGAUGUAGGAGUGAUCAAACAUUUUGGUUUCUUGAAUGCAAAUAACAGAGGCAGCAUUCUCAUUAAUAUGAUUACGAAGAGCAGUGUGUUUAUCACCCAAAUUGAUACCCCUAAUAUUCCAACACACAAUAUUCCAACUUUGAACUAAAUUAGACAUGAAGUCUGACAGAGAUUAUAAGCCUUAUACACUGAACCCAGACAGAAUAACAGUAGAAGUUUUUCACACGACAGACUAAAAGAUCCAUAGAAGCACGCCAAGCAAAAGGUCAACCAGUACACACACAUAACAAGAAACACUAGUUUCUCUGUAGGAGGAGUCUGUCUUCAGUAAUCUCCUCAGGAGGGAUGCCACAAACAUCAGUUCCCACCUGUUGAAGUUCUUCCACCGAGAGAAAAGCAGGGAUAUUCGAAGAGGAGCUAGCCAUGUCAGGAAUCAUCUGAGGUUUGACCUUUGACUGUCUCUUCUUGACAUCAGAGGGCAUGUCCACCUUGAAACCUCUGUACAUAUUGGGUAUGGGGCUUCUUCUCAAGCCAGAGGAGACAAGUGGGGUAGAGCACUUAGGUUUUCUACCUGUUUUUCUGCCAGAAUAAACAGGAACAACAGCCAGAGAGUCAUCUUCAUCAGUUGAAAGAGCAGGCUCCUCUUCAACAAUGUCAGUGUCAUGUUGCAAAGAGGAGGCACUGUCCAAGAUGGAAAGCUUUCUCACAACUCUUCCGAUGGGCAGCAGGUCACAGGGGACAGUGUGAGAGCCCAAGGACAGGUCAGAAAGGAGAGCAAAUUGAGGCAGGGAGGAACUCCAAAGGGAUCUAGCCCCCAAGAACAAGUUGGGUUUCAAAAAGUUGUCCACUACAGCACUGAUAACAGAGAUAUGACCCAGUCCAUCCAUAGGCACAGGUUGCACAUAAGGAACAAUAUCAAGGCAGACAGGUAAUUCUAGUUCCAUAGCAGGGGUUGUACCAGGGCAAAAGCAACCUUCAGAACUAUUGUCAGAAAGGAGAUCAUUCCAAGCAGACAUGGGACUAUCAAUCACAUUGCCAGGGGGAACAAUGCCAUCAGUGAAUUUGAGACCUUCAUCACGAAGAAAAGCCUGAAAGUUAAUCUGCCCCUGGGCUGGAAGCACAAAAUCAUUGGGAAGAUUUGCCAGCAUAUGCCCUUGACCACCUAUCAUCCCCUGUUGGGUCAGAAAUUGAUUUAAUCUUCUCUGAAAGCGUUGCUCAGCAGUCUCGUAGGGACCAAACAUGGGGUGUGGCCUACCAUCCGGUGGAGGAUCAUCUUCAGUAUCAUUAGGCACAUCAUGCAUAUGACCAGUCCAGCUAUCGUUUCUGAGAAGAAAGACAGGGACAGUCCAAGAAUGGCGAUGCCCACCAAGCUCCCUUAGCACAAUACUUUGGGGGACAAGUCUGUCGCUAGCAAUCCAGGCACGAACAAGCACCCGAGCAUAUCUGUUUCGUGGACCCUGCCACAGAGCAAGCUUACCAAACAAGGAAAUUGUCUUCUCAAUCCAGUACUCUGUCAUGUAAUCCAUAGGAUAGUUAACCAACAUUACCCACUUAACUCUACCCACAGCCGGAACACGCCAAUUGAUACCCUCAUCAUGCUUGACAAAAGUAGCAUUGUAGAUUCAUCUAUCUCAAAAGUUCGACCAACUAAAGCAUCACGAUCAACAGCCGACCUAAAGCCAAAAAGGCCUAAAGCAAUGGCCGAGUCUUCAGCAAAGGUGACCUCAUAGCCAGCUAGCUCAACCACAUCAAUCAACUGACCUCUUAACUCAUCUUUCAUGUGAAUUGGAACAGCCAGAUUGGUUUCCGCCAAAGCAUACAACUCAUGAGACAGGGACGGAGAGCUAGAGAGCACCAGGUCAGCCCGUACCUUGCGUCCAGGAGGUCCAUGAUCGAUCGCCAUCCCGUGAGGAAGGAAAGGGAGAGGAUUCACCGUGUAGUUCGCCAUGGAUUUCUGGACAAUCGCCGACCCCGGAGGUGGUUUUGAGGGAGCAGAGCUCGAGGAAGAUGAAGAGUCCUUAAUACGCCAGACCAAAAUGUUGGAAAUAUGCCCUAGAGGCAAUAAUAAAUUUGUUAUUAUCAUAUUUCAUUGUUCUUGAUAAAUGUUUAUUGCCCAUGCUAUAAUUGUAUUGAUUGGAAACUCAAAUACAUGUGUGGAUAAAUAAACAAAUACCGUGUCCCUAAUACGCCUCUACUAGAUUAGCUCGUUGAUUAAAGAUGGUUAAGGUUUCCUAACCAUAGACAUGUGUUGUCAUUUAAUAACGAGGUCAUAUCAUUAGGAGAAUGAUGUGAUGGACAGACCCAAACCUAAACAUAGCUUUUGAUCGUGUCACUUAAGUUUAAGUUGCUUAUGUUUUAUUAUGUCAAGUAUUAUUUCUUUAGACCAUGAGAUCAUGCCACUCCCUAGUACCGGAAGAAUACUUUGUGGGCAUCAACCGUCAUCUCGUAACUGGGUGAUCAUAAAGGUGUUUUUCAGGUAUCCCAGAAGGUGCUUGUUGGGUUGUAUGGAUCAAGACUGGGAUUUGUCACUCCUUGUGACGGAGAGAUAUCUCUGGGCCCUCUCGGUAAUAUAACAUCCUAAUGAGCUUGCAAGCAUGUGACUAAUGUGUUUAGUUGCGGGGGUAUUAUAUUACGGAACGAGUAAAGAGAACUUGCCGGUAACGAGAUUAAACUAGGUAUGGCGAUACCGACGAUCAAAUCUCGGGCAAGUAAUAUAUCGCGAGACAAAGAGAAUUGGAUACUGGAUUAAUUGAAUCCUCGACAUAGUGGUUCAACCGAUGAGAUCUUCGUGGAAUAUGUGGGAACUAUUAUGGACAUCCAGGUCCCGCUAUUGGUUAUUGAUAUUUGAUCAUGUCCACAUGUUCUCGAACCCGUAGGGUCACACACUUAACGUUUCAUGUUGCUUGGGUUAGAUGAGAUAAAUGAUGAUGAUAUCGAAUUAUGAUUCGGAGUCUUGGAUGGGAUCCUAGACGCAACGAGGAGCUCCGGAAUGUUCCGGAGAUAAAGAUUUAUAUAUGGAAAGUUGUUUUCAGGGUUCUGGAAAGUUUGGAAUAUUUCCCGGUUUUGACCGGGAAGCUUCUAGAAGGUUCCGGAGGGAUCCGGAGGGUUCCACCUUGAGGCCCACCUAUCCCUGGGCUAAAUGGGCCUGUGAGGGAGCACCCUGGCCUUAAUGGGCCGAGGGGCUAGCCCACAGGGCCCAUGCGGCCAGGAGGAGAGUCCUGGCCGCGGGAGAGUCCUGGCCGCAUGAGAGUCCUGGCCGCCGGAGAGUCCUGGCCGCGGGAUAGUCCUGGCCGGCCACGCCUCCUCUACCCCUAUAUAAAUAGAAGGGGGGGCAAGGGAGAGAGACACCCCAAGCUUUCAGUUGGAUCUCUCUCCCCUGAGCCCUCCUCUCCUCCUCUUCUCACGCGCACGGCGUAGCCCUGCCCGUGAGAAUAUUCACCAUAGUCACCACGCCGUCGUGCUGCCGGGAUCUCGUCUACCUCUCCCUCUCGCUUGCUGGAUCGAGGAAGGAGGAGAUAACGUGAAGCUGAACGUGUGGAUACCAAGGAGGUGCUGUCCGUUCGGCACUGAGAUUGAUCUCAUUGAAAGUUCCACUACACCAACAACGAUCUCGUGAUCGUAACGCUUAGCGGUCUACGAGGGUAUGGUGUUCAUGAUCCCUCUCGUUACAUACAUCUAGUAUAUAUAUUCUUGGGUUUCUUCCGCACUUCUCGUAGGAAAUUUUUUGUUUCCUAUGCAACGAACCUAACACAAAAUUCCUUUAUUUUCUUUCACAAGCUGACGUGGACAUCCAACAACAGCGUGUCCUUUCUUGUUGCAAUUCUGACAGCGUGGGCUCGCGGUACAUGAGGCGGCUGGGUGUCCCACCGUCAGGCACCGGACACAGGAGGAGUUAGACAUCUUAGGCUUCCAGUAUUUGCCCAUCGACCGUAACGGAUUCGCGGCAGAAUCUCUUCCGUUUGAACCACCUGGGGUACUGGAAGACGGGGGACCCCGAGCUGGGCAAGAGGCCCAAGUAUGGCCCACUUCAAAGCAAAAUAAGCAAGCCCUAGAAAGCCCACAGGUUUUACGUGUAUGACCUGGUCGAAGGCAACGUCCACAUAAAUUAGCCUUUUCCAUGCAAUCCUGCAAUUCAAAACGCGAAUAACCCGCGUCAGAUCGUGUAACAACUCCCGCGAAAGCUGCGGGGCACCAAACCGAAUCAGCCAGCUAACCGUCGAUGAUCGCCGGAGAGAACAACGAACACCACCAACCAGGAAAGAGUCAUCUGAAACUGACGAACUGAGAAUUUCUGAACUUUUGGCUUGAUCCAGCUUAGCAUUAUCUCUGAGAGGGACUAAAUCCGGACGAAUGGCAAUGGGCUUGCUUUUCAGAUUCAAAAUAGGAUCAAGAUUCCUUAAAUAAAAAGGAGUACCAUGAUUUCGAGAAUGAUCACUGGACCAAUCCCCUUGGGGAUCAGAAUGCUUAAACACUGCAGAAUUGCCAUGAUCAGCUGGUCGAACAUCGGGACCCUUACCCAAAAAAUCAAGCCUCUCAAAGACAGUCUUGAUAGGAAUAUCCUGAUGAGCACUGUUUGGUGGAUCAAUCCUAUUGAAAACCAAUGAGGGAGAAACAACAGAGCCACUGAAUAAGGAGAAAAUACAGUAGAAAUCUGGACAUGAAUAUGAGUCAAGUGCCCGAACGAAAUGUCCAACUCUGUUGCCAACCACUAAAAAUCUGAAUCUGUGAUCACUGAGGACUGACACACGGAAAUCUUCUGCAUUGCCUCCCAACAGGAUUGAAGAGCCAAAGAAACCGAAUCCACAUCUAGAGGAAAAUUGAAACGCUUGAAAGAAACCACGAGGAAGAACUCCCUAUAGGAAGGAGAACCUCCAAAACCCACCGAGGAAUUAAAGCGGCGACACACCUGAGCGGACACCCGUUCUCCAUAGGAGAAAUCCCAGUGGAGAAUGGAAUCCAUACGGCCAGAUCAAGAGAUCAGACGAGGAGAGCACCGGAAUCGCCAUUGUCGCCAGGGGAGGUGGGAGAGAGAGCCAUCGAGGGUUUCAGGGUUUUUAUUUAAAUUGAAACGACAUCAUAGAGUUGGGGCGCGGAGAGCUUGUGAGGCAAUGGCGGAAGCAAGGAACAGUGGACGUUCCUUCCUAAGUAUCUUACCUGUCAAGUGAACUCUUUUUUUUGUAGCAAGUAAACAAGGUAAAUGUUGAUCCGUAACGCCCAGGUAUCUUUCCUGCCUGCAAUAUUAUCAACUAACUUAGCUACAUUAAUUCCCAUAAAGAAAACUGAAAAUUUCGGCGUCACCUCUCUUGUUUAUAUGGAGAUCGACGACAAGCUAAAUAAACAUGCACAAAUUCAUAAACUGUCUACUAGACUCCAUGACAGAAACUUAAUAAUCCUCAAGCAACCUAUGUGAAAUGGUUCUCUAUAGGGUACGAUCCUAUCUAAUCCACACGAGUAUAAGAUGAUAAGUGAUGUUUAUGUGAAGUGAUACUUCUCCUUUCCAUGCAUGCUAUGUUCGAAGUACCUGAAAUCCAAAUAAACUCAACAAGAAAACAUGUGUGAGUAGAUUAAUCAUCCAAGUACAUUGGGGAAAAUAACCAUUAUGAAGCAUUAACUUAAGAUAAACUACAACAUAAAGCUGAAAUAUCAAACAUGUAUGGCUGAAGUUAAUAUUUCCGGAUUUGACACAUCAUGUGUCCUUCCCUGACUGGACUAGACAUAUUUAACAUUUUCACCGGUCCUUGCCGGAUUAGUCCAAAACGAAAUAACAGGGAAACUGAUGAUGAUCACCGCAAACAAAAAGAACUCAACGAAGAAGUAAAUCCAAAUUGAACCUACUGGAUGCAAGAAUACAAGUUGAAUAAGAUUGCACAAUCUAAAGUGACCGCACACCAUAAACCAUAAUAAACAUGCGAUCGUCACGCACUUGCCUCAAAUAAAAGAAGGCGUAGAAAUUCGACACACAAUGGAAACCGUAUAAAUAGAGGCUCAUCAGGUACUUGCCUAAAUUCCCGUAAACAAUCAACUAGAUGCAAGAAUACAAGUUGAAUAAGUAUCUUUUAGGACUAGUGCAAGGACAAUCAAGAGGUAAACAUAAAAGCAUUGCUAUGGCCCUCAACAAGACAUUGAAAUCCCAACAUCCUUCCUUUACUUUAUACUCUGAAACAUGUUCCGGAGAGAUCUGUCUUUAGGUUAUAAAUCUGGACUCCCUUCCCCAAAUAAUGCAAACAAGCACAUUACGAUGAUCAGCAGGAAAUUAUCUACAAUUUUCAUGUUGUGACCAACACUUAGUUCUGCCUCAAACUAGGCGAAUUCAUACCAACACUUUGUCUUCUCCAGUCUCUCUUCUUGUUUCCUCUUCCCAAGCUGGCUCCUGAUUCAGUCGACAGAGCAACACAGCAGCAAAGCUGUUGGCUAUCUUACUUCCUCCCUGCUACCUCCCAGUUAAUGGUGGCUCAGACGGGAGGCAGCAGCACAAAACAGCGGCGGGAAGCGGUAGUGCGGCGGCGGCGGCGCUGGAACUAUAGCGGCAGGUUGGCGGCAGCAACGGUUUGGGGAAAAACAGGGGUUUAGAGGUUAGGGAAGGUUACGCCCAAAGUGUAAUUUGCUGCGUUGGCUUAUAGGACCGGCUUCUUUUACAAGUUGCCAUCACCUAAUUUUCUGGAAAAGCCGUAUCUCAGAUUCAGCUACGUUUUCAAAGUAAUUUAGGCCAAACUAAUUUGGUAGCCUAAUCAAAUUUAGACGCCGGCUUCUCUAGGAAGCUGGGAGAGAGCGGCUUCUCAAAGAAGCCGGUCCAGUAAACCGAAAAGAACUGUCCCUUUAUCUGCUGCAAUUUUUUUCUUUCGAAAAUUUAUCUAGUGGCUGACAAGAAAAGUUGUAAGAAUAUAUCAUUUCAAGUUCCAACUUUUUUGCAAUCCUAUAAUCAUUUCCGAUCAACUAGACGAGACAAAUCCAACCAUGGCCUCUGUUUUUUUUCCCAGACGAUUUCUAAUUCAGAAAAUCAAACUUUGGUCAAAUGUGUCAAUCCAUGUCAAAAGUAAUCUUAUAAAUUUUCAGGCUAUUGCAUGAUCUGUCAGCUGAUAUAGAUCAGUCCAAUAAAUAUAACCGAUGCCAUGAAAUAGAUGGAAAUUGUUAUUUUGACAUGAAAUCAUUAGGUUAAUUGAUAUGUCAUAAAAAUGAUUGAUCUUGAUUGAUUCUGAUUUUUCUUUACUCAAUUUAAUGACAAAAUACGUCAAUACACUUCAAAAUGAACUGAUAUGUUUUCAAUGUAUCAGAACAGUCCUCAUUGUGACUUGUGUACCUUGGAACAAGGUGUUUUACUUUGAUUCUGCAUACAACCAAAGAAAAGCAACGAAGAACCGUAGGGACAACUCAGCCAUGAAGAAAGCUAAUGAUGAUGCCUAUUUGCUAUUCCAGCAUGAGAAGGAGGAGCUCUUCUUUUUACAUUAAAAUGUAUCUUCGUUGAUUAGUAAUAGCAGUUGCAUCUUGGAUAAGAAGAAAUGGAAUGAAGCUUGGGAGAUUCUCUAGCCAAGUAGAAGAUCAUUCUCCCAUUGUUGCCUAGCAAAUUCAUGCGCGACGCUUGACUCGCUUCUCUCGAGAUGUAUUCAAAGCCGACAUCGUCUAUAUAUAUGAAAACACCAAGAGACGAAGAGCGUCCUCCCUGUUUCAUUGUGUUGAUCACCUCGAAACAAUCCGAGUUAACAAUCACAUCAUUGCAUCCGGCUGUGAGUGACAAGAGAUCAAAUGUCAGAGAUUUUGCCAUCACGGGUGUCACAUCUGAGCAACAGUUCAAGUUCGGAUUUCCAGCAGCAACAAAUUCUCCUUUGCUGUCCCAAAGAAUUGUAUACACCAUUCCAGACAUGGCAUCAACAUCAAAGGUUGAAUUGACAUUCAGCUUAACAAGUUCAUUAGGUGCCUUUCUUCAGCCGUCGAUGCAUCUUGGCCUUCAGAGAGUGGCCUUACAGUUACAGGUGAUUUGUCACUAGUACCUCGAUAGACAUCACGGUGCGAAGAGGAUCCUGGACACCUUCCUAAAUUAUUUUUGAAGGCAUACAUAUGAUGCUAUUGUCAGAUACUAUUUUACAAUAUUCAUAUGCUAGCUAAGUUCUUUCAUCGAAUGAACCUAACUUGUUAAUAUUACCUGUAAGACUAUGAUUUUAAAUCUACAUGCUAUGUUUUUUUCCCCGUGAUUGCAUGAGACCGACAAAGACCAAGUAAUGUGGAUAAAAUGUAUAUGCACGAAAUUGCGUUUGUAAUAUCAUGUUGUAAAUGUUUACGAGUGACGGCUCUUUGAAAAAUGAGCUUGAAAAAUACGUCAUUGUGAAUGUGCAAUUGUGCUUCCUCGGUGGGUGGUUUCACUAAGAGGCUCUAUAGGUCGAGGGCUGCACAACUAGAAGUUUUUUUUAGUUACUCUCUCCAUCCCUUAAAGAUUGACAUAUUAGGUUUCAUUAAGACAAACCUUUGACCACAAAUUACUAUAUCAAGAUGUGUUUUAUAUGACAUAAAAUUAGUAUCGCUAGAUUCGUUAUCGAAAGUACUUAAUGAUACUUGUGGUUUCAUAACAUAUAAACCACAUUGUGGUCAAAGCUUUGUCUUAAUGAAACCUAAUAUGCCAAUCUUUAAGGAAAGGAGGGAGUACUAUAUAAGCUAAUUGUAGCCAACAUUUGACCGCGACAAUACUAACCGGUCUGUUUGGCUCUACAAUGAGCAACGACUUUUUUCACGUUAACGUAACUAACUCUACCGAUGGGCUAGCCCAUACUGACGCUCAUGGCACUCCCGAUUUUUCAUGGGCAAAAUCCAAAAGCCCGUGAGACCUUGAAAUCGAUCUUUAGCUUGUCCUGGAGGGGUCUCAUUUGACAAGUGAAACUCAGCCAUCGCUGCCAUGCAAUCUUCUCUGACAGGCGUUUUGCCUGUCAAUGGUACACAAUAACAACUAACCAUAAACCACUGACAUCGGCACUGUAAUGUACAUGCCCAGUGAUAGAUUAUUUUAUAGUAGUGUUGUCCAAUAUUAAUUGCAAGAAUAAUAAGACAAUAUAUGCACCUAUCAAUUAAGAUGUGUAUGUCAUCCAUACACAUCUUGCCAAACAUCAAUGUAGAGUUUUUGUUUCGCAACACCGCUUUGGUGUUCAUCCACACCUACCCUCUUCCCCUGACCGUCGUGUCGUACAUGCCUCCCCUCCCCUGCCAUCGCCUCUCCUUGCUUUGCCACACAUUGCCUUGUUCCGAUGGCGCCAACAGACCUUCUCCCCGCAGGGGGAUGCGAUCUUCGACAGAGGAGGCCGAAUCGGAUAUCGAUGCCACCAGGGCAUUCCUAUGGCCCGAAUCGAACAAAUCUGCUAUGUCAUGGAUCUGUCGCUGCGUGGGAAGGAGAGGAGUGUCGGCCAGCAGGAGGGCCCGCCACCGUCACCCUCAUCCCGGUGCGCCUCCAAGCUCUAGGAGGCCGUUGGGUAGUCAACGCCACCGAGAAGUGAGUUUUUUUUUUUAAAAAACACGCAAACAAUUAAAAUUUCAAACUAAAAGCUAGAAUCUGAAAUUUGAUUUUUUUUCCUUACGACCCCUUGAGGCCGGGUUCCACUAUCAGAAAGAUAACGGAACAACAAAGAGGUUCACACCACACACGUAGUUCUCACACACUUGCUGCCCGCGGUUGGCAAGAACGCACCCCAGUUGUCCAGCAACAGAAAGAAAAGGAAAGGAAGUUUGUCGAGUACAGACGAACUAAUGUCACCAACAAAAGCUCACAUAGCUGGAAGUUUGAAACAGAAAAAUUCAACAUCCCCGCGAUCUCUCUUCACAGAACCUGCUCUUGGGUCAGUUCGUCUCCCCACCAUCAACCAUACCGCUUGUUAAUCUCUUCCAGUCAGUUGCAGCUUGCUAGGGUGCUGACGCAGCGCUUCUUCCUGCAGGAUCCUGGCUCUUUCACGCAGAGCAUCUCCAUCGCACCAGUCUGAAGGCCUGCCCAAUAUUUCAGAAAUGCACAGGCAUAGCAUAUCAAUUCCGCAGGAGAUCGAAUCAAAUGGUGCUCAAAACAAGCUCUAUUUCACAAUUUCCACAUUGCCCAGCAAAUCCUGCCAAACCAACUAUCUGCAAAUUACAGCCGAGUCUUAAAUGACUCGGGAUCCAAUGGAAAUAUGUUGAAAAGGAGAACGGUCUAGUACCAGCCCCAAUAGCAACGCCCACAAUCCCCCAGGUGUAUUUAGCCGCGGUGCAAGUAAAGAAAAGGUGAUGAAUGGUUUCAUUUUCUGGACACAAACGACAGGUGAUAUCCCCGCUCCAAUUCCUACGAAGCAUAUUAUCUUUGGUAGCAAUGUGCCAUAUCAGCCAUAACCAGAUCUUAAGUUUUAAUGAGAUUUUGGCCUUCCACAAAUGAUGGAAGGACCUGACAGGGCCCUGAUUGGCCAGCAGAUUAUACAUAGUUUUGACAUUGUAUUUACCAUUCUUGGGCCAUAUCCAAAGAGGUUUAUCCUCCUCCCCAUUCACCCCCAUGCCCAUUAGUUUAGAAUUCAGUCUCGUAUAAUCAUAUUGACAGCUCUCAUCCAACAACCGCCUGAAGGUGAGGCACCAACGUCUAUCCGCUAUCUCAGCCACAGAACAUCCAACAUCAUCAGAUAUGUCAAAGAGCCUAGGGAAUUGGUCCUUCAGUGGAGAAUGCCCACACCAGGAUUUGCCCCAGAAGUCAGUUCUUCUCCCCUUCAGAUACAAUGCCCUGAUAUGGAGCAAAUCUUUCCAACCAGGAGAAUCAGAUUGUUUUCCUUUGAUAUUAUGAAUACCCCCCCCCUUUUAAGAUAUUUCUUAUCUAUAAUGGAUUGCCAAAUACCAGAUUCAACCUCCAGUUUCCACCACCAUUUGCAGAGUAGACUAAUAGUAAAAAGCUCUAAGUUCUUCACUCCCAAACCACCUCUAACUUUUGGCUUGCAAAUCAACUGCCACUUGACUAGAUGGUAUUUCCUUUUGAGACUACCCCCUUGCCACAGAAACUUCCUCUUGAUCUUAUCAAGCUUCCCUAGAUUGGUUUUAGGUACUCUGUACAUAGAAAGAUGGUACACUGGUGUUGUAGACAGGCAAGCAGAGUAACUCUCCCCCCAAUUGAAAGUGCCCCCCCCCUUUCCAGCCAGCCAACUUUUUCUCCAUUUUUUAUUCCAAAAUAGACCAGUUAUGUACAAUGAUUUUAUCUACACUAACGGGCACCCCAAGGUAUGUUAUAGUCCAUGUCCCUGCCUGGCAAUUGAACAUGUCAGCAUAGCAUUUUGCUUUAUCAUUAUCCUGAAUAAUCAUCAUUAUUUCACUUUUUUGGAAAUUGAUUUUCAGACCUGACAUCGGUUCAAAGUAGUAAAGAAUCAAUUUCAGAUUUCUAGCAUCUUCCGUAUCAUCCCUGAUGAACAGAAUGGUAUCAUCUGCAUAUUGUAGGAUUGCAACCCCUUUAUCAAUCAAAUGUGGUAUCAAGCCAGUCAAUCUUCCAUUACAUUGUGCAGACUGAAUCAUUUUUGCUAAGCAUUCAUCAGCUAAAUUGAACAGAAAAGGGGAUAGGGGAUCCCCCUGUCUCACUCCUUUAUGGAUACCAAAGUAUGGUCCUAGUUCACCAUUAACUUUCACACUCAGAGUGCCAUUAGAGACCACAAACUUAAUCCAUCCCAGCCACUUGUCACUAAAUCCCUUCAUCUGCACACACUACAAUAGGAAUUGCCAGUUCACUUUAUCAUAAGCUUUUUUGAAGUCAAUUUUUAGGACAAUCCCCUACUGUUUCUUAAUCUUGGAUUCUCUCAGGAUUUCAUUCAGAGCCAACACCCCAUCCAUAAUAUUCCUGCCUUUAAUGAAGGCACUCUGACAGAUGUGUAUCGACUUAUGCAUAUAUGGACAAGCCUGAUAGUCAUGCUUUUCGAAAAGAUUUUGAAUAAAACUUGUAACACGCAGAUAGGCAUGUAUUUCUGAAUUGUAUCAUCAUCCUCACCCUUUGGAAUUAAUGUGAUGAUACCAAAAUUAAUUCUACUCAUGUCCACAAUACCAGCAUGAAAGUCAUUAAACAGAUUAACCGUGUCAUCUUUAAUGAUAUCCCAACAGGAUUGAUAAAACUCAAUGGGAAACCCAUCAGGGCCAGUAGUUUUACCUUUCUCCAUGGAAUCUAUUACCAUUUUAAUCUCCUGGGCAUCAAAUGUUCUAUCCAAGUCAUGUCUAUCCUCAUCAGAUAGUUUUUCCCUGGCAUCCCACAUCUCAUUUCUAAGUUGACAGUUAAAACCAUCAGCAGGGCCAAACAAGCUUUUAUAAAAAUCAGUAGCAUGUCUAACCAAAGCAGGAGUCCCCUCAAUCACAUCAUCCCCUCUGUGCAAAUUAUAAAUGAUAUUUUUCCUCCUCCUCCCAGCAGCCACUCUAUGAAACAAUUCAGUAUUAUUAUCUCCUUCCAGUAACCAAUUGGAACAAGAUCUUUUCUACCGGUAUUCUUCCUCCCCUUCAUACAAUUCCAUGAGUUGUGCAUUAAUAUCCCACCUCCUUGCCAGCUGAUCUACAGAGAGAGGUUGGAUCUCCUCAAGAGCUUCCAAGUCUUGUAAUUCCUCAAAAAGAUCCUUUUUCCUUUUAAUGUCAUAGCCCCUCACAUUGUGUCCCCAGCGUUUCAAGGAUUUUUUGGAUUUUUUCAACUUCUCUUGUAUUAUCCUCAAGCUAUCUUGGGCAACAGUAUUUCACCCCCAAAUUUUAACAAUUCUAUCUCUAAAUUCAGGAAGUUUACACCAACUAGUAUUAAAACGAAAAUCUUUCCUUUUGAUGUCACUAUGUUCCAUGUAUCAAGAAGUAGAGGAUUAUGGUCUGAGAUUUCUCUCACCAGUUUCCUGACAGUCAUUAAGGAGGAACAAGCUAUUCCAAGAAGCACUAACAAGAAUUCUAUCCAAUUUUUCAAGAGUAGGAUUCUGCUAGUUAUUGGACCAAGUAUAUUGUCCACCAUACAUAGAAAUUUCUCUCAAAGCAUGUGUAUUAAUAAUGACAUUAAACAACCUAAUUCUUCUAUCUCUCUUAAGACGUUUAUUUUUGUCAAAGGCAAAUCUAAGAAUAUUAAAGUCCCCUCCUACUAGAAGUGGUAGACUCUGGUCUCCACAAAUAUCACCAAGUUGGCCAAAAAAACCAUCAUGUCAGCCAUUUGAGCAGCACCGUAAACAAUCACAAUGUGGUAGUGGUGUUUCAGCUUCUUAUCCAAAACCCGCACUUUAACAUGGUACCUCCCCUUAGAGAACUGAAUAAUGUCAAACCUAGAAAAUCUGAAGCCUCCUAAAAUCCCUCCAGAUCUCCCCACAUAAGUUCCCCAUUUCCAACAAAAUUGGUUCAUAGGAUCGAUUCCUCUAAAAAAGGAAUCAGAAAAAAACUCUUCAUUGUCUCCUGUAUCCCCAAAAAAUCCAGGUCAAAAUCUCCAAUUAAACCUCUGAGAUAAGCACUUAUCCCUUUCUUCCCCACCCCACUGCAAUUCCAAAUCAAAACUUUCAUAGAUAUUUGGAUUUUUUCUUGCGGUUCCUAGUAGGAGGCAGCUCCUCACAUUUGUGAGAAGCAGAGUCAGACGUCUUAUUAGACAUAUCCAACUGGCUCCUACUCCUUGGUGCAACUUUAACAACAGAUUUAUUUUUCUUUUUGGUCUUCCUGGAUAUGACAGGAGUAAAAUCUUCCUGCUCUAUAUGAUCAUUUUCCCAAUCUAACAAAAUGACCUGCCCAUUAGCAAUUGGUGCUCCUUCCUCCACUACUUCCUCUUUUUUGGCCCCCAAAUUAUGUCUAGCUACUUCAAGAUCUUGUAAUAAAUGUAUUUUCUCCAAAUGCAUGUCAUCCAUAUCAAUGCCAAUUUCUAGAGCCCUAUUAAUCAUGUCAUCAUCAUUUAGAGCAACAAAUGAAUUAAAAACAGAUAAGUUGGUACCUUCCAGAUUUCUGGCAGCUUAUAAUGUGGGAGCUCUGGUGUAGACCCUGGUGUAGUUACCACCUUGCUCCCUCAGCCUCUCACUGAUCCUGACCGGAGGCCUCUGAACAUCUCUCCUGGUAGACUGAUUGUGGUCCACAAUAUUCAUCUGAACAUCCACCUCCAUUGCUUGUAUAUGAUCACCUUCGAUGUAUGCCUCUUCAGAAACUCCCUGAGAAAUGGGAAUCUCAGGGUGUGAAUCAAGCAUCUCAACCUCCUCGGUAAUCUCAGAGAUGCUAAAUCUCCCUGACCACCAUGGGCCUCUUCACCAACAACAGCAGCAACUUCACUUUCUCAUUUAAGAAAUUUGAAUUUUUUUAAAAGCUUCAAAUCAAAACGUUAGUGUUAUUUUCCAUAAACGGAAUACUUUCAACAGGAAGUGAAACCACGAGCUCGCCGCAGUACUGACGAAAUAUGCGGUAAACAGCAUAAUUUUUCGACAGUCCGAUCUCCAUAGCAUGGAUUUCAUCUAAUCCGUGUGAUUGCAAACGGACGGUGCAGAUGGAGAGCUCUGAAAUGUUCGUGGGUAAGCCUAUAAUUUGUCUGGUACACGAGGCGAAGAGAGGAGGAGGACUGGAGGAGCGCGUAGUACAGACGCACCGAAACGGCAAACAGACGCGCACCCUCUCUCCCUCCCUCCCGUUCUCUCUCCCUUUCCUAAUUCCUUCGCCCGCCUCCUCUCCCCUCGCCUCGACUCGCCCUCGCGUCGGCGCCUCCUCCACUUCCUCUCCCCCCUCCAGAUCCCAGCGCCCCAAAAGUAGAACCCGCCAAAACCCUAGACCCCAGCUCGCCGCUCGCUCCCCCCCGCCGUCCAGGACCCUAGCACCGCACCCCCGCGGUCGCCGCCAUGGCCGGCCCGUCCGGCGCCGCCGCCGCCGCGUCUUCCUCGUCCCGCGGAUUCGAAAAUAACCGCUUCUACAACCCGCCCCACGUCCGCCGGCAGCAGAAGCAGCAGAGCCAGGCCCAGGCCCAAGGACAGCUCCCGUCAUCCCCGUCCCCAUCGCCGUCGCCGACGGGGACUCCCAGGACGGCGAGGCAGAAGCCCGCGCCUCCUGCCCCGGCAGAGACUACCGCGGUUGCCCCGUCCAGGGAGGUGGACAAGCGGGUGGACGCCACUGUAUCCCCGUCGGUCCCGUCCAAGCCAUCCGCCACGGUGAAGUCCGCCAAGGCAGAGGUGGUGGGUGCAGCGCCGGCGGUGGCGGAUGAGGCGGGGAAUCUCGAGAGGUUCCUCAGUUCCACCACGCCUUCCGUGCCCGUGCAGUAUCUUCCCAAGGUUAGGAUUCUAAGAAUCUGUUCCUUGGUAAAGUAGUUACGUGCUUGGCUUUGCUGUUACGGGUUGCAGUGUGAGCGUGUAAAAGUGGCGGCAGCUGUUAACGAUGAGCAGAUGUAGCAGAAUAAGAGCAUGCAUUGUUGGAUUUUAAGUCGUGGGUGGCGAAGAUUAGUUUCAUUUUGAUUCGAUGAUGGUUAUUAUGACUAGGGAAGGUUUGUGAACCGUGAUUAUGGAAAAGUAUACCUACCUUGUUUCAAGUUAAACUAGCAAAAAUGUUCCAGCAAAGUCUGACAUAAUGUGCAAUAAAAGAUUAAUUGCUGAUACCUGGUAAGGUUACUCAUUUGUAGAAGAUAUAUGCUAAGGUCUUUGUCCUGCUAGUGCUAGUGAAAUCCUCAAUCAGUGCUUCUUUCAAAUUAUGUUGUUCUUGAUAGUUUGUUUUAUUUAUCUUUCUUAGCUUUAGGCAAUGGCUUGUGCUACAGGAAAGUGUUGACUAGGGAUGAUAUUUUCGGGCGGAUAUGCUUUAAACUGCAGCGUAAUUGAAAUGCCAAAGUAUCAAGAUUUGUUUUAUUUAUUAUAUGUGCAAUUUUUUUUCUAAAUCUAAAUUUGGACGAGUUCUGGGUUGCGAUUCAGCCAACCUUAGUCUCGAGGGGUGGCGGAUGGGUAAACACCUUGUUCUAAAAAAAGAAAUCUGUGCUAGGCAUUGUUCUGUUGUUUGGAUCACUAAUAUGGUUUCAGGAAAGUUUGAGUUGGUAUUGUAAGGAAAGAAGUGCUUCCUAUGAGAAUUAUGAAAGAACAUUAUGCUUUGUGGUUCUUAUUUUGUACUGUUUUAGUUUGGUUGUACUGACAGAUUAGGUAUUAUCCAGAUGAGCAUGAGAGGGCGAAGGAGUGGUGAUGCUACAAAUUUACGUCCGUAUUUCUGCCUUGGAGAUCUCUGGGAGGCAUUCAGUGAAUGGAGUUUCUAUGGGGCUGGUGUACCCCUUCUGUUAAAUGGCAGUGAAUCUGUGAUACAAUACUAUGUGCCUUCACUUUCUGCAAUACAGCUAUAUGCUGACCCAUCUAGGCUUUCAACAAAUAUUAGGUAAGGAUAUGUUCCCAUUGCGUUUUCACUUUGUUCUAAUGAUUACUCUCAGUUGUGCCUCUGUUUGUCUGUGUAUCGUUGAUUUUGUUGGAUAAACAAUAUGAACAUGAUUUUUUGAUGGUUGGCGAACCCUUCAAAUUUAUGGUUGAACUUCUGCAUUGCUCUUCUGUAGUGCAGACACUGCCUCUGCUAUGUGCUAUAUGCACUUUACUAUUAGCUCUCAGAUCUUGUUGACCGCCAAAUUAAACACAGCCUGUUCAGAGUAAUUUACAUUUGAACCAAGUGUGUCAUACACACAAUUUGACUUGAUUGCCCACAUCAUGUUUUUGUCAAGGAAAUGUGAAUGCUUUAACUACGCCUGGUUUUUAUGUUAAUGAUCAACUGAAUGUGACGUAUGGGCAAUGUGACAGACAUACGGGCUUCUCUGAUGCUGUACUGGAGUUUUCCAUCAGAUCAUUUUGUAUUACUACCUGCAAAAAAAAGUUCUUUUUGUAUUAUGGGGCUGUUUGGUUCAUGCCAAAACUUGCCCUACCAAAAAAUUGGCAACCCAUGUUAUUUUGGUGUUUGUUUGGUUGGUAGCCAAAAAAUUGGUUGCCAAAAGAAUCUUGCCAACUUCUUCACAUCUUCACAAAUCUUGCCAAAUUUUUGGUCAACCAUGGGUUGGCAAAUCCUUAGCCAAUUUUUUGGCUAGCCAAUUGUUGGCAAAAUUUGGCAAGGCACAAAUAGUCAAGAACCAAACAGCCCCUACGUCUCCGAUAAUAGCUAGAACAAUUGAUUAGUUACUGCUCUGGAGCCAUUUUAUUUUAGUGAUUAGAGAUUAUCAUUGGAAUUAUGAAAUGUAGUGUGGUAAUAGUUUAUCCAUCUUGCAGUUAUUAAAAAUUUGUAUAUAUCACAGCAGCACCUCAUCAUCUGGGAGACUAAUAGAUCAUUAUUUAGCUGUGGCCAGAUUUUGUAAGAGAACUUAAGUAGCGGUAUGGUUAUACUUAUUUGUAAAUGAAAACAAUGGUUCAUUUUGUAUAAUCUUCUUGAUCAAUGUUAUUAACUUUGGUUCGUGUUUUUUGAUUAACCCUAAUUAAUGUGUCAGUGCCAAUAAAGCUGCACUUAGUGUGUGCCUGCAAACAUUGUCCAGUUAGGAAAAAUAAUAACUAGAGCAAUUAAUACUCGUUCUGUCCCAUAUUAGAGGUCUUUUUAGUUUUCUCAGGAUUUCUCAUCUAACAUGUUUUAGAUGCAGUUAAAUAAAGCAUGUAUGCAAUGCUUUCGGUUUCACUCGGGUGAUUAAGUAAAGCAGAAAAAUUGCUUGCUGGCUCCUAUGCAUGCAUGCGCAGUGCUCGCUGGUUGGCUGGCCAUGAUGCACGCAUUGUUAUAUCAUUAAUGAGCGAAGGGGAUACCGAUGAGGUCUCUUGAUUUUUGUGCCACCGGAAUUAAUGUUUGUUUAGUCGACCCGCGCACCUGCAACACGUCCUUGGUAUUCGAGAAAAAUCUAAAAUGACCUCUAAUAUGGGAAGGACAGAGGAGGGAGUAUUUGGCAACGUUUUGUCUUAUGGGCCGUUGUGCAGCCUGUGGUUCCUGUAAAAAUUAAUUGUUCCUUGGAUUUGGUUAAACCAACAGUAUAAUUUGUGUGAUGCCCCGUUGUAUUGCAGAAGCCGGGGGGGGGGGGGGGGGGGCGGGGUGGAUUCUCAAACAAGUGAACAAACCCCUCUUCUGCCCAAAACCUACCCAUGCAUUCCGCUGCUGCUGUUGCUAGUUAUUAUUGAGGUUCUGGGGUUAAAGCUUUGAGUUUUGCUUGCAGAAUUAUGCUUUGUGUGAUCGUAGUUUUCGGCAUUGCUGAUAGAUAUCGGUUAUUUUAGAACACAAGUGACCGAUAUUGAAAUAUUUUAGUUAGAUAUUGUUCCAUAAAAUUGUGUGAUAGAAAUGCUUGCACAGUUUCAACCGACUGUAGAAACUUGAAGAUUCACACCCAUCAUAUCCUAUGUAUUUUCAUUGGUUGGCAUGAAGAUGUACUUGUUGACAAUAUGAAUUGAGUAAAUGAAACUUUAACGUUACUUGUUGUUGCAUAACAGUCACUAGUGCCAAACCAAUCUGCCAUUCUAUAUCUGGGAUUAUCUGUACAUUGUGAACAUAGAGCGGAAAUUGGGUAAAUGAGCAUAUAACUGUGUAGGUUUAACCGUUCUGCUCAACUUCCAUAUUUGAAAUGCAAAGACAACUUUGGCUAGAUUGAGUAAGAUAUUUGUUGAGAAAUGUACUCCCUCCGUCCCAUAUUAAGUGACUCAAAUUUACCCAAAUAUGGAUGUAUCUAUGCCUGAAAAGCGUCUAGAUACAUGUAAUAGAAAGUCACUUAAUAUGGGACGGAGGGAGUAGUUCUUUUUACCUGUUUGUUCUUUUAGCUGUGUAUACCUCGUCUAGAAUUACAAGAUUCUUGGUAUGGUGUGCUGAUUAUAGCUGUAACGUAUUGUUCCACAUGAUUGUGGACAUAAAAGUAAAUGAAAGAUAUCAAAAUUGAUAAAGAGAAAAAUCAUUGAUUCCAUUUUCUGUAUAUGUUUUCUUCAGUUGUGAUUUUCAUAGUUCAUAACCUUUUACGUAAUUUUCUUGCUUAUGUAAGGCAUCCAUGGGAGCAAAGUGAUGCCGAAUCUAUGGAUACUGGCAGCGAAGAUAGCUGUGGAACUGAUGCCGACAGGUUAAGAGGUUCGCUUGUGGAAGCUCCAUGUCCACUGGAGAAUGGUGGAUUUCAAAGGAAUGAUGGUGAAGUGCAUUCACCAUCCUCUCGUCCAAUAUUCGAGUACCUGGAGAGAGAUCCACCAUAUGGUAGAGAACCUUUAACAGACAAGGCAAGUUUUUUUUCCAUAUGUCAGUAGGAAUGGCUUCCACACAUAUCCUGCUCGUGUAUGCUUAUUCUGUACGUUAUUUCAGGUAUCGAUUCUUGCAAGCAAGUUUCCAGAUUUAAAUACAUUCAGAAGCUGUGAUCUACUGCCAACCAGCUGGAUGUCUGUUGCAUGGUACUAACACUCCAGAUUCUCUCAUUUAGUUUAUGAUGCCUUGUUUUCAAUGGUAGCAUCUGCCGCCUUUUCAUUGUCUUGGCAGCAUUCUGUUGAGAUUUCGCAUUAUAAAUAAUAAUUUCAGACUAUAUAAUUUUAGUCUGCAAAUAAUUAGUUCUGAUCUGUAUGACUGCACCAUGUUUACCUUUAUAUUCCGCUCACCAUCAAUUGCCUCAUCAGAUGUUGAUCAAGUUCUGUAGUAUUUCAUGUAGUUUUCUUGAUGUUACGGCAUGGACAUUGUGAUGAUAUCCUGAUGUCGGACCAUGCCGAAGGAGCAGCACCAGCAACUCAAGCUAGCCGGACUGUCAUAUAUGUGUUUUAUUCCAAGAUCUAGAUCACGCAAUGCAGCAAUAUGCUACUAUGUCUAUGUGGGAAAUGUAACACUGUGACAUGUCAAUCACAUAGGUUACUGCACUUGGCAGCAGCAGGGCUUAUCUUGGCAUCCAAUGAAAUCUCCUAACUGUCACCCUGAGUUUAGGAGUUGCUAUCCUCAGUUACUUAAUUGCCUAUCCUUUAGAUUAUAUUUAUUGUUGAGUCCAUCUGUUUGAAGAGGAGACCGAUAUCUUAGAAAUAAAGCAAAAGAAUAAGCAGAAGUUCUCUAGCCUGCUCCCUUUCUGGUAUAGGCCUUAGAACCUCUCUACUGUGGUAGGGAAGAGCCCAUCUAUCGGCUAGAUGAGGGAAUGCUUGGGCACAUGCCAAGGAACCUUAGGUUUUGAGUUUGAACCUCUCCUCCCCACAAUUGUUUAGCAGAAGUUGUGGCCCCAUGUGUGGUCUGAGUGGAAGGGAAGGAAUGAACCACUAACUCAAAACUUCAUAAUUAGUACAGGUAUGGUGUAUCAACUGAUGCGAAGGGAGCCUCACAUUGCUGAAUCUCAGCUAAAACAACUGUGUAGAGGAGCAAUACUUGCAACAACGUUUUGCAAUGAUUCUUCCUAUCGAUUUCAUCCUCGGGCUUACAAUUGCAGGUACCCCAUAUACAGAAUCCCAACUGGACCAACACUCAAGGAUCUCGAUGCAUGUUUCUUGACAUUUCAUUACUUGGCAACACCUUUCAAGGGUAACCACUCACGUUUUUUUUUUUUGCAUCUGUUGGUUCCCUUCAUUUAUAUAAUUCCAUGUGACUUACCUCAUCAGUUAUCUGAAUAAUUACUUGUUUUCCCUGCAGGUAUUGAUCCUAGCACACCUGUAUGCCCCAGUUUUGGGGGCAUCAACCACUGCGUGAAUGCAGCUGGUAAACUAACACUGCCUGUCUUUGGACUGGCGCCUUAUAAAUUGCGGAGUUCAAUUUGGUCAUCAGACAGGCCUGAGCAGCAGCAGCUUGCCACCUCCAUGAUGCAGGCAGCUGAUGACUGGCUUCGCAACCGGCAAGUUCAUCAUCCAGACUUCCGGUUCUUUCUUAAUCACUACAACACAGUGUGGAGAUGACAGGAUGCUGAUUCCCCUUUCGUUGUAAAUGAUCAUUGGUUUCUUUCUGUUGAUGCCUCAUCCGGGCUACCUGUAACUUUAUGCUGAUGGUCGUGUAACGUAGCUUCAAAUGCCCUGGAACCUGUUUGUCACUCAUCUGUUUAACGCCAGGCAGCUAAUUUGUAAUGUCUUCAAUAAACCUUUUGGUGUAGGCGAACUGUUCUUUGGGGAACGGUGUAGGUAAACUUUUGAAAGCAAAGAACAUAGUGGGAGAUCUGUAGUACAAGAAAAUAAUGAUUAUACAAUUUUCAUUUAGGUUACCAUGUUUCUUGCGCUGUGCUUUUACACCCCUUGAAUCGUUAAUAUUUCCCCGUUUUCGUGCCAGAGUGUAAAGAGCGAUAAUCGUCCUACUUAUGGAUAGAGAUGAGGCGCCUUGGGACCUCGUUCUCGGCUCAGUCAUCACGCUCCCUGCGCGAAAUUUCUCGUCCAUUUUGAAGCUUUCUCAUAUUUUCUUUUGCUCAUCCGUCGUUCUCGUGCACGCAUUCAUUUUGCCCCAUCUGCAAGACUGCAGAGUGGUUGAUCGAGCCGGCUCGGCUGUUUCUGAAGCUCUGUUGACAACGCUUGACUCAUGAGCCCGCCUCUUCUCCGAUGUUGUGCUGCAGGAACUGAUCGCAACGACGUGCUGGUGCGUUUAGUCGGAGAGACAAGCGGCGACGGACGUGCUGCCCUCGCUAUCUAACAAUUUCAGAGCCCUUAGAGCAUCUAGACCCGCGCCCCCCAUUUUGGCGUCCGGCGCGGCUGAUUUUUAGGACGUUUGGAGGCGCCGACGCAAAAAUAAAUUUGGGGGCCCACCGUGACACAGCCGUGGCCCCAAUAUCAAAUCCCCAAAAUUAAUUUGGCAAAUUUGAUUGGACACGGCGAAUUUAAACUAAACACAGGCAAAUUUAACUGAACAUGGCGAGUUUAUUACAUAAUUCGAAAAUUUAAAAACCCUAGCCUAGUCUUCAUCGAGGCAGGUGUCAAAUUCCGUCGGUGUCGUCAUCCUCGCUGUCGAGGACGAUCACGCCAGGCUCCUUCUUUAUGGACGGCUUCUUCUUUGCCGCCUUCGCCGCUUCGCGCUCGCUCCGGGCGAGCACCAUGUCUACCAUCAUAUUGAGGCCGAGGCGGUGCGGUGCACCUCCUCGGCCUCUUGUUGGCUGGUGCGCUGGCGGCGCCACCAGCUGCCUCGGGAAUUCCUCGGGGUCGCCGUCACUCCGGUACUUGAGCGCCCGGUGCUCGUACUCCUCUUCCGGCGCCCACUCCGGCUCCGGCUUUGGCCGAACAAGGCAGAGGUGGCCGUGAGGCUGCAGGAGGACGAUCCCGACUCUUCCUUGUUGCGUAGCGCCGAAGAGGAGGCGUUGCGGGAGGACGAGCCGGAGCCGGAGGAGUGGCCGGCCAGAGAGCGGUGCCGGCCGGACGGAGGCACCGCUGUUACUGGAAUCUGCAGGCGGGGACGAUCGUCCUUGGCGAUGUGCUCCAGCAGCGCCACGAGCGUACGCCGAACCAAGAACCUGUGCCGCCCGUUGAUGUUGUGGCGCGGCGGGCGCUGGCCCUCGCCCUCAUAUCGGGCCAUGAGGGCGUCGCACUAGUCGGCGAACAGGCUGGCCGCCAUGCGGUGCCGGUCUACCGGUUCCACUCCGGCAUCUCCCCCUGCGGCGCCAUCAGAAGUGCGCAACAGAGCCCACCUGCCGGUGGGUAGUCAUGCUUGCACAGCGCAUCGACCUUGGGGAGCGUGAGGGAACGGUGAGGCCAAUUCUCGUCGCUGGUGGCCAUUUUUGGUGGGUGAGAGAGAGAGAGAGAGAGAGUUGGGGGCGAGGAGAGAUGGCGAGGAAGACGGGGGCGAGAGCGAAUGGCGUCCACCAGCGGCGAGGCGCUACUUUUUAUAGGAGGGGAAUACAGACUGGCGGGAGGGGUGAACACGACGUUAUUGCGUCGAGAAUACGUUGGGACGCGGCCGCAUUGCAACCGGCGGUCAUUGACCCGGCGAACCGCCAUUACUCGCCUCGGGAGCCGAGGAGAUGUCGGUGGGAAACCGGUGAGAGGGUGAUUAAUGGACGCUUAUAGGGCAAGCCCGCGGCAAGAAUGCGAGCAACCGCCCCCCCCCCCCACCCCCCAGUCGCCUCCCAUUUGGUUGGGUUCGGCCUGAGAGGGCCAGCUAUUUUAUUGGGCCGCGCCGGCUCAAAUUUUCAUUUUGGGGAGGCGGGCCGGGUGAGAUUUUUGGCGCCACGGCCCCAAAACUUGUUUGGGGGCCUUUUAGGGGGGCUGCUGGAGAUGCUCUUAGCAAGAAGACUGGUAGUCGCGGUUCUAUGAAACUUAAAGAGGGUUAUGUCAAACUCAACGUUGAUGCGGGGUUCAAUGAAGAUGCAAGCACUGAAACUAGUGGCGCGGGCCUGUGCUGCCACCAUGUCACCUUCCUUCUUGGUUGCCGUUUUGGACUCUAGAACAUGGCUGAUGCCUCUUCUCCAGAACAUGGAUUGGGGUCAAGUAGGUUGUUCCAGAAUUUGUGAAUAGCGACUGCCGACUGCCUCGAGGUGAUUGAUAUAGACAGGUAGUGAGGAGGUCAUCCCGAGCCGUGAAAGUAGGACACUAAGGAAUAGAAUGUCUUGUGUCUUGUAGAAUAGCCGUUGUAUGCUAAGGAAUUUGGAAAGAGUCCUAAUUGGUUAUCACUUUGGGGUGCCUUCCAGAAGCGCAAUGUCAAAGGAAAGUUUAAGCUGACGGCGACAAGCUUUCAUUGGUUGUCGUAGAGGUGUUCCACGAUCGUUUUGGAUGGAGACUGAUUACUGAGGGGCUGUUUGGUUCUUGACCAAAUUUGCAGUACCAAAGUAUUGACAACUUAUAUUAUUUUAGAAUUUGUUUGGUUGGUAUCCAAAAUUUGGUUGUCAAAAAAAUCUUAACAAGAUCUUCACAUGACCCUUCACAAAUCUGGCCAAACUUUUUGGUAAUCAUGGGUUCGAUACGCAAAAAUUGGUAGGCCGGCGAACUACGCGUCAUGUCUGCUCCGCUUCCUCCUGCAUGUCCCUUCUUCAUUAUUUUCUUCCAGAAAAGGUAGGGGUUAAACAUCAAACCCCGCCUAGUCUGACAUGAUGAACAACUAGACCUCUCGUGGGAUUUUCUUCUUCCCCCUCGCUCCGUGGCUCGUCUUCCUCCUCGCGCGAGCGACGCCACCCCUCCCUCCCCGUCCCGGUGCCGAGCGCCCCAGGCCCCUAGCUCGUCUUCCUCCUCGCGCGAGCGCCUCCACCGAGGUUGAUCUCCCUUUCCAUUGUCUCUCCCCCGACCGUUUCUCCUUCCAUUGCCCCACGAACGGAUUCCGCCCUCUAGCUCCCCGUUUCAUCUUCCCCAAUUCAUAACUGAGGCAAAAUUCAAGGUAGGGCGGUACUGGGUCCUCCGCCCGUGGCUGGUACCAUGGUUCGGUUAUUCCGUUUUGCUUGCGGCUCAGAGGAUCAGAUCUUGUAAAGGUCCAAGAUCUCAGUGGACUCCGCCCCUGGCUGAUUGAGUUCUAGAUCUUCCGUAGUGUUGAACACCCUGGAUGAUUUGAUGUUCCGGAAUUAGAUUCAUUUUUUAUUUUUUAUUGUUUCUGGUUACAAGUAGGAAAAAUAUGAGGGGGCUGGGCGGAUCUUUGGUCCAGCUCGCCUAUAAGAAAACUGGUGUCGAUUAUUGAUUAUGAUAGUUCUUUUCACCUAGUUGAAGCUCGCUUUUAGGCAGUUUGGGAUGGAAAAUAAUCGAAAUUUGAUUGGUUCUGUGAAUAAGUAGAGCUCACGUGUUUGUUCUUCUGAUGCUGUUUCACUCUGUAAAUUGCUGGUCAGUGUUCCGUCCAGCAGAAUCCAUGUUGAAGAUGCGGUAGGAUUUGAUGCCUUUUUUCAAAUGAACGGAUAAUAUUUUGAAAUAUGAUGACAAUUUUGACCUAUUUCCUGUAGUUGAGUUGGGGAAGGGUAGAACUUUCUGUUAGUUCAGCUAAUCCAUUGAUGUGUUCAUUAUUCUGCCAUUUGGUAUUGCACUAGCUCAUCACAUCAUACACGCCUAGCUUAUGGUUGAUUUGCUUGAAUCUGAUUCCGCCAAUACUUGUUAACCUGUUUGUAUUACCUUUUUUUUUUGGCGAAGAAGCUGUUUGUAUUACAAAGAGCUUGGUUUUGGUGUUUCUAGAAAAAUAAUUUGUUUCCGGUGCAAUUUAUUUGUGUUCUGCCUCCCUUGGAUCUUACAUUUUGGAGCAUCUUCCUUAUAGAACACGUAUCAUUCUCUGCUAAAUGCGCUUUGGUUCACUCCAUUUCCGAUGACUGGUUCUUCUGCAUUCUCUUUCGCUCUCUUUCUCUUCUUGAUGAACUUUGUAACGUGAGAAACUGUGGAUAUAAAUUGCAUUAGCCUCUGGUGUAAGUUGAACAUUGACUUGUAAAAUAAAAGAAGGGAGUAGUAAUUCUUUUUCUAGGUCUGUCAGGAUUCAAUAUUCUCGUCUCAAUUUGCUCUGUGAAGCUUAUGCUUGUGAAUUGUGAUGGUACUUUACUGCAAAUGCAGGAUUUCAAGGAGGAUAUAGAAGCUGUGGCACAAUUUCACGUGGAAGCAUGUUGUCAAAGAAAAUAGAGUUGGACCACAAGGACAUGAUCCAUGAUUCUGCCAUCGACUACUACGGAAAGCGCCUUGCCACUGCCUCCUCAGACUACACAGUGAAGGUCGUGAGUAUUGGGGGUGCAUCAGCCCCAUCCAAGCUCCUCGCAACGCUAAGUGGCCACUAUGGCCCCGUGUGGCGUGUUGCAUGGGCCCAUCCUAAGUAUGGAGCCAUCCUCGCAUCAUGCAGCUAUGAUGGACGUGUAAUUAUCUGGAAGGAGGGUACUGGGGGUCAUUGGUCUCAAGCACAUGUAUUUGCAGACCACAAGUCCUCUGUCAAUUCCAUUGCUUGGGCACCAUACGAGGUAGGACUUUGCCUUGCCUGUGCUUGUUCCGAUGGUAACAUAUAUAUCAUGACUAUACGAGCUGAUGGGGGAUGGGACACUGCAACCAUUGAGCGUGCACACCCUGUUGGUGCAACAGCGAUCUCAUGGGCUCCAGCAACAGCACUUGGUUUACUGGCUAGUUCAGGGGAGGUUGUUUGUAAGCUUGUCUCUGGUGGUUUUGACUCUGUCGUCAAAGUUUGGGAAUUUACCAAUGGUAGCUGGAAUCUGGACAGCGCUCUUCCUUCAGACAUGCACACAGAUUGUGUGAGGGAUGUUGCAUGGCCACCAGUUUUAGGCUUGGCUAAGUCGACCAUUGCCAGUGCUUGCCAAGACGGGAAGGUUGUCAUUUGGACCAGAGUCAAAGACGGUGAUAAGUGGCAGGGAAUGGUCAUGCACGACUUUAAAACCCCUGUGUGGAGGGUCUCCUGGUCCUUGACUGGAAACAUAUUGUCUGUAGCUGCCGGUGAGAGCAACAUAACACUCUGGAAGGAAGCAUCAGGCGGGCAAUGGGAAGAGGUGCUGAAGGUUGAGCCGUAGGAAUUUUGUGACAGUUUCAUGUUUUUGUGCAUAUGCAUGAAUCAGAAAGUGUUUGUGCUAGCGUUUGCACCAGUGCUCAAUAAACAUUCGUUACCGAUUUUAAUACUCCACAUCAGCAAUUCCGCUUUGGACGGGGUGUGAUUUUAGAAUUCUACACUUUGUGACUGGUACAAGUAUUUGGUUCUGCAUGUGUUUAACUUGUUUCUUGGUCAUGGUUAAACACAACGGCUGUUACAACUUACAGGUAUUAACAUGUAUUACAAUGUACUCUCUCCGUUCCAUAAUUCUUGUCUCAAAUUUGUCCAAAAAUGAAUGUAUCUAUUUCUAAAAAAUGUAUAGAUACAUGUAAGAUUUCGACAAGAAUUAUGGAAUAGAGGGAGUAGCAUCCUUUAUAUUCUGUAUGUUGUCAUUACAUGUCAUAUAGCUUUUGAAAGCAAACUAAAGGUGUCUUCAGACGUAACCGCGACCGGGCAUCUUCCUGCUCCGGCCGCGGUAGUGGCAGGCCUUGCUCUAAAGGGAGCUGGGGGCUUGAAGGUGCACGGGGUUGGACGUUGGAGCAGAGGGUUGCGAGCUCGUGCUGGGGAGUUGUUUUGGGGACCGACGACAUGAAAAGGGCCAUAGACUUUUUUGGCCACAAGUAAAUGUAUGGAUAAACUUAUUGUCGUCUUAUGUCUAGGAUGAAGGAAGUAAGCGACACCUUGAGCAACAAGUGACUUCGUCCAAUACUUGUCAAAGUUUGUAUUCAUAGAGUUUGCCAUUUUAUUGUCAAUCUCAUCUUCAUUACAACACCACUCAUUAAUGAACACCUUAACUUUAGAAAGCUUUGAUAAAAUAAGUUCAGUGUUCGAUAUAAAGUACUUGACAACAACUCAGUAACAGCGAUGAACAUUUUCAAGCAUAUAGAAAGUGUUUAAACCAUUUUCCAAUCAGCAUCUAAUGGUUGUACCUUGUGUAAUCUUUUCGUCAAGACCACAAAGCGUAUCAAAAGGUUAUCUAUAAUAAAGGCAUCAAUUCAGCAAGAGGUAGGUUCAAUUCCACUUCAUCUAAACAUCCACUGAGAUAGAUACCUCAAUUUGUAUCCAACCCGCACUCAGAUGCACAUUUGAUGGAAAUCCUCCCGCCGUGGGGGAGAGCACUUGAGAACCAUUAGAAAUGUUAGUUGCAAACCAUCUAUAGCAACCAGGUUUAGUAUGUGACAGGCACAUCUAACAUGAAAGGACAAGCCAUCACAGGCUAAGAGGAACUUCUUUUUAUUUCAGCAACGACAGCAUUAACGGUUACUUCAUUUGUAGCUGUAUUACCCAAAGUCAGGGAAAUCAUUUUCUUGCCGAUAAAUCCAGGGUUGUAUCGAGGAAUUUGAGGCCCUGAUUCGAAAUGUAAAAGGGAACCUAAAAUUGAAAAUUGUUGCACAAUCGAAGUAUACUUUUAUUAAUUAUAUUAAGCCAUGUGGCCGAACGAGUCCAAACAUGAUGGACACAUACACGAGUUGCAACGGUUUUAGAACCAGCAAUUUUCCCAAAGUGAGCUUCUGCCCGACCUAAACUUAUGUUGUGUCUUCACAUGGUUCCUAAUAUCGGUGUUAUGAUCUUGUUGCGUGUCGUCGCACGGGGCUCCGACACCGGGGGCGUGCUAGCACACCCCCUUUUAGAUUCGGCGGGGGCGUCGGGGAUCGCUCCGGCGAUUGCCGGCGUGGCCGAUGGCGUACGAAACCUGCAAAGAGAUGCACCCAGAAUGCAUGCAAGCUAGGAACAUAUGCACGCACGUUUUACCAGGGUUCGGACCACCCGGAGGUGUAAAACCCUACGUCCUGCUUGUCUGAACUCGUAUUAUCACAAAACCAAGUGUUUACAGGUUGCCGGGUGAGUUCCCGGGUACUCUCUUCCUCUGGCUAAGUGUUCCUUACUAUUCUCUGCUAAUGCUAGAGGCUAACUGUGAGCUGAUCGAACCGAACAGAACCCAACCGAACGUCCAACCCUUUGACCGUUAGCGGGGGUCCUCCUUUUAUAGCCAAAGGGAUACCACAGGUGCCACGGUGCAUGGUUUACAAGUGGCGAACAAGGAGCUUGGGCGACUCCUCCUCGGUGCGCUGGCAUGCAUGCAUGAGCGCCAACCCCGCUGCUAGGGGUCUAGAGCCUAAGAGAAUAGGACUAGACAACCACUGUUUGCCCGACAAGACGGAUAACGCCCCUCCUGUCGGCUUAUUAAAUGCGUCGUGCGGCUCACUCCUCGCCCUGGUGAGACUGCACACUGUGCGCCCAGCGCGCAUCCACGUGGCGCCGUUGCUCUGCUUGCUCGGCCCCGCCCACACGAUGGGAGCCUGCGCCCGGGAACCCCUCCUCCCGGCAAGUGACUUCCCGGGAGGCGCCCAGGUGGGACUGCGCCCGGGAACCCCUCCUCCCGGCAAGUGACUUCACGGGAGGCGCCCAGGUGGGACUGCGCCCGGGAACCCCUCCUCCCGGCAAGUGACUUCUCGGGAGGCGCCCAGGAGGGAAUAUUUUCUGAAGUCCCGCUAGCCCUUCAAGGCUGGUAGCUUGCCGGGCUGCUUGUAGUUGCUAUCCGGGAUGAGAUCCUCCCGGGAACUCGGCGACGAGGCCCACGCGUCGUGCAACGGUGGUACCCCGGGUGCCACUGGUGUGACAUUGCGGUUUGCUGCGGUUCUGCAAUUGCUACUCCUUGUGGACACUUGACCACCUAUAUAUGCGCGGCAUAGCGGUUGCAUCCUAGUCUCCGAGUAGGACUCCAUGACGCGUUAGGCUGGUCUCCAGGUCAUGUAUCCUUUACAAAUCAUCCAUAAGGUUUUCUUAUCGAGGAACUUCAUCACGUUACCAUUCCUUUAUUUCUUAAACUUGGAGCUCAAGCGAAGGCGAAAGGGCAUUAUCCUACUCCCUCGGGCAGACCAAUUACAGUCUUCCUGAGUUUGCUAACAACUAGCUUAUUCGCAACCCUCUUGGUUACUAUUGUGCUCAUGCUUGAGUGUAAUUUUACAUGCAGAAUUUGCGGAUAGUGAUCGUCAAGGGAUGAAAUAUCGCUACCUCAUAAUACUUGAUUUGUACUAUAUGGGGAUCAAGAGUAAGAGCAUCUCUACCGGCUCUCGCAUAUUCUGAACCCGAAAAACGCGUUUCGAUGAGCUGAAUCUGUGUUUUGGGGUGCGAAAAAGACCCGGCCAGAACAUAUCCCUCAAACCAGACCGAAAAACGAGUUCCGUGAGGUUUGCGGGAUCUGUUCUACCCGGGCUUGCAAAACCGAAAAUACGCCCACCAAAAAUAGAAAUCGACACUUCGUCAGUUCACAGUUUGACAGUUCACAAAAUACUUGCACAUCACAUGAAAGUUCAAAUUAAGACAAUCAAACGUUGUUGCCUUCAGAUGGAGCAAAGGUAGCAUCGCUAGCGGCGGCGGUCUCAGUAGCGGCGGCAGCGGCGGUAAUGGCAGCUUGAGCAGAGGUGGAGGCUGCAACUUCGGCAGCAGCGGCCGCGACAGCUUGAGCUUGGCGGCGACGCAACAUGAUGUCCUCCAUCUUCAUCUGCCACCAGUGUCGGCCGAGUUCAUCAAGGCCGCUAGGAUCCAUUGUCAUGACUCUUUUCUCCUCCUCCUCCAAAUCCUUUGCCGCUUUGGCCUCCUCAAUUGCAGUCCGCGGUGCAUCAAUCUUUCCCCUCUCUUCCUCAAUUGCAGUCCUCCAGGCAUCGAUCUUCAUUCUCUCUUGCUCCACUUCUUUCACCGCUUGCCACUUUUCCAAUUUGUGCGCAUGCUUCUUGCCGGCCAAUGCGAGUUUCACCUCCAAUUUCUUAGCCGCGGUAACCUCUUUUGAUUUCAUCAGUUCAUCAAAUUUGGCCGUCAAACUUGAGGUCUUUCCUUGCUUAUUCAACCUCUCCUUCUCUUUCUUCCUUCCAUCCAGCCUGCGCAGGUUCCUUCCACCCUGCGGUGCAUCACUAAACAUCAUCCAACUCAACGAAGGCCCCAUUCUUCGAAGGUGUUUCUUCAUCCCUCAAUCUCGACUUCUUGCUAUGCUCUAAAACCUUCCAGCAAUGGUACAGUACGAAUGGCCUCCCCUUUGAUGCCGGCAUCUCCUUGUACCUCGCCAUUGCAAUCUCGUCCUUAAAAUGGACAUAACAGUCAAAAUUGUCCAAUGGGAAGAAUCAAACAAACAUGUAUUGACUCAAUUUCACUCACAUAGUCAUCAAUCGUGCACCCACUUGGCGGCACAUUGCGCACUUGCUCCAAACAACCACUCCACCGGCUGCAACAAGUCUUCAUCGUCUCAAAUCUUCCUUAGAGUGACCUCAAUGUACGCGCCGAAGGAACCUUCAUCAUACGAUGAUAUUUGUCCUCGAUCGUUUGCCAAUACUUCUUGCCGGUUUGAUCAUUUUCGGCUGCGGCAUCGAGCGAUACACUCUCCCAUGCUCUCACCAAUGUCACGUCUUUGACUUCGGAGUAAUUGCUCUCCCGCCGAGCGCAUUUAGGUUGGGAUCCGUUGAAACCCCCCUCCUCUAUCUCCUCAAGAUCAUUCUCCUCUCCUCCCCCGGCUCCCUCGGCACCCAAUCCAGUGUCGUCAUAGUCCUCCAAAGGCGCCGAAUCGAUGCUCACCGUAUUCUCAUGCAACAAAUCGACAUACGAAGAAUCGAAAUCGAAGCUACGAAUGGAACGAGGAUCGUUUUAGUGAGCAAGGAAACACCAAUCGGCUACCGAAAUCCACAAGGAUGAAAAGGGUUUGCCUUGUAGGCGUUGGAGUAUACACCGAAGGGGCGUACGAUUGUUGUGUCGGCAGGGCUGCCACCUGAAAGAUCAGUAUGGUCGACUAGAGGGGGGGCGGGGUGAAUAGGAGACUAACACUUUUACUUUUUAUUUUCACUUUUAAGGAUACAAGCAUCAAUACAAUACAAGGGUUCACUAAAACGUCUAAAUGAUGAACACCCCUAGUAUGAUGCGAUAGCCGAAGCACUAGCCGAAGUACAAGAUAAACAAUUAAGCUUUGCGAGUAAGUAAAGGGGUAAGAAUGAUACCACACGGGGAGACGAAGAUUUCACCGGAGUUCCACCUAUUGGGGUCAGUGUACGUCUCCGUUUGGAGGAGUGCUCUACCACAAAAGUAGAGGCGCCACAAAGGCUCACUCUAUUCUCCAACUCACCACACCACAAAGGUGGGAUGAGCUCUCACAACACCACGAAGGUGAGGUGAGUUCCACUAGUGGCUUCUUUGAGGACGAAUGCCGAACCCUUACAAACAAGGAGAAGGGCACAACUCCACAACUUAAUUGGAGGCUCCUUCCCGAAUCCUCAGGCACCUCCUCACAAGAUUGGAGGCCUUGAAGAGACACCUUCCGGCUAGGGAUCCCAAAAUCCCAAGAGUAACAAAAUCCACAAAGGAAACAAGGAGAAUCAACUUUUUGCUUUGGUGAAACCCUAGAUCUAGAUGUCCUCCUCCAAUCCUCAAAGAAUCAACAAGGGGAGAGUUCUAUGGAGGGAGAUAUAGCACUUUGAAACUUUAGAAAUGGUGUGGAGAGAGUUGGGCUUCGGAAAGAUUCAUCCCGAGGUAGGGGAUGACUAUUUAUGGGGGUCUCGAAAUCUAACCGUUAUUCACUAAGUCUGCUAGGAGAGGAAGUUUCGGUCAUGCCCCGGAAGUUCCAGUACCCUGGAACUUCCGCCCUUGUUCCGGUCCAAUCUCCGCCAAACAUAAAUGAAUUCUAGUAGCAUCACGGAGGUAGGCCGGAAGUUCCGGGCUUGGAACAGUCCUGGCAACACAGUUAGACUUUGGGUGGCUCUCUCUCGCACGGGUAGGCUUUAUGUGGGUGCAAAUAUGGUAGUUUGUGUAUGUGAAGUUGAUUCACCCAUUACCUUCCCAUGUGGACUCCCUCUUAAUAGUACGGAGUUCCUACGACUCAAUAUAAAUAAAAAGCCGCUAAACACCGCUACGCUUCAUUCUUUUUUGAGGGCAACAAACCGUCUUGUGCCAUAUGAUCUCAAAUCUGAAACACUCGAGCACACGGUUAGUCCACGAGUCAUGUUGUCAUUAACACCAAAACACUUAGGAAUCGAAAUGCAGAUGGGGGAGGAGGGGCGGGUCCUCUUCCCGCCGCUGCCUUCUUCCGUUUCUGUGUUUUCGCCGCCUGUGCGACCGCCGGCGUCGCCUCCGCCGCCACUGCAGGGAAGUUAGACGACCCGGCCGGGACAACCCCCAGGAUGACCACUUGGCCCUUCCGCUUCCGUUUGGCCGUAGUCAACUCCAAAUUCGGCAAGGCGGCGUGGAAGGCGCCGGCAGGAGAAGGGCGAUGAGGAAGAGAAAAUUGGGUAUGGGGUGCGACCGGCUACCGGUGCAAUCGGUGGGGGACCGCACAUGAGACCCCAUCGUUAGAUUUGGCGACGGCGCGAGGACCGGCAGCGCGACGGGAAGUAGAUCGAUGGCGGCGCAGGGGAAGAAGUGGGCGCGAGCUGAAAUUUCCCUCCCGCCAAGGCAGCCUGUGCGUUUCGGUAUUGUCCGCCAAUCCGAUCUCCAUACCGCCUAUACGGGGUUUUUUGGCUCACUGAUUCGGAGAUCGUAAAAGUUUUUUUAAUCAGGGAGUUUGAUCGGGUCGUUUUUUCGUCUCCGAUCCCGCAAGCUGGCCGUUUUUAUUCGGAUAAGAGGUUCAGUGAUAGUAGCACGUGUACUCUGACUGAGUUGACCAAAAACCAAACAUUCUCCUCCUAUCACAGCUGGGGAGGAAAAAACAACCCCCCUUAUACAACUCGGCUGGCUCUAAUUCUGAUCCUGCUGCCCUUGUGCCACUGAGCAUCUUCCCUUUUGAGUAAGGCGGCUCGGGGUGAUUCUUCUUGCUAUAAAUCAACUGGUCUGUUCAGUAUUCUUUCUACACCUAUUAUUGGUUCCUUCGUCUUUGCUCCGUGCUACAGUAUUUCUAUUUCCUCAUUGAGUACGGUGGUCUUGUGGUGGUUGGUACUCCGGGUCGCGGUUCCUGCAGGCCGAACUCGGGGUCUCUGAUUGCGGCGCCAGGGCUCAGUUGUUCUGAUGAAAUGUUGAUAAUCGGCAGCAAGAGAGGAAGAUACACCGUGAGACCGGUCUAAUUCAGCGAAAGGAAGAUGAGUAGAUCUGCAUCUGUAAGUGCCCAAUUUUGGUCUGAACUUAUGCUGCUUUUAUGUAUCCCCUCUUUCGGAAAGCAUGCCAUCUGAAAGUUUGAAGCAUCCACUUAUGCCUUACUGGAGUUCCAGAAAAUGAGCUCACUUUGCUAGAGCUUAGCAUUGGCACGGUUCUGACCUAAAUGUUUUCUGUAUAGACCUUUUUGAGUUCUGGCAACCGAUGGUGGAAACAUCCCUCAAAAAUAGACGACAUGAAGUUAAAAACCACUUUUAGCACAAACAAGAACUAAAAAGGAAUAAACUAGAUUGCCUGUAUAUGCUUGUUUACUUUGUAAACCUUCGCUAUUCAGAUCCAUUUCUCUAUGCUGUUUACAAUAUUUUUAAUUAUGCUAAACUGUUUGAUAUACGAUGAUUAUAGACACUGAUCUGUUGGAAUUUGAUAUAGAUAUUUCAAGCCCUUUUGGUUUUUACAACCGUUGCUGCUGAGAUCCAAUGGAGCAGUGUAUCUGGCAUGUACUGCAAGGAUUUGACAGCAAGUGUUUAUCGGCCCCACAGUGUCUCAAUAACGGAGUUUGGUGCUGUUGGAGAUGGUAUGACUCGUAAUACAAAAGCAUUUCAGAAUGCAAUCUUCUACCUCAGCUCAUUUGCAAACAAGGGUGGGGCGCAACUUUUUGUUCCUGCUGGAAGGUGGCUCACUGGGAGUUUUAGUCUUGUCAGUCAUCUCACCGUGUCACUGGACAAGGAUGCAGUAAUACUUGGAUCUCCAGUAAGACUCAACAAAUGGUUUUGCAGAUAACAAUUUAGCUCCCUUUUGCAAUGUAAUUUCAGUCUUACCUUGUCUCUGCACAUGAAAUCUUCAAUUGUGUUCACAGACUGAAACAAAAAUGAUGAAAUAACAUGUACAUAUUUUUUUCCAUAAAAUUGUUGGCUAAAGAACAUUCAUGGAGUAGUUAACAAUAACUUAUUUAAAAAAAAAGUUAACAAUAACUGGAUCUCAUAUUUCAAUAUGGAACAACUAAAGUAUGUGCUGAAACAAACAGUGCAAGGAUUGCUACACUGCUACUGUUAUGGUAUUUUCAACAAAGUAUGUUUGCAGGAUUCAUCUGAUUGGCCAGUUAUUGAUCCUCUUCCAUCCUAUGGGCGUGGUAGAGAACUCCCUGGUAAAAGACACCAAAGUCUAAUUUUUGGAUCCAAUCUAACUGAUGUAAUAAUAACGGGUAAGUAUUAUAGUUGCAUCAUGCGCCUCCUCUGGACAUCAAUGACCCUCUGUAUAUGAUCACGUAUUGACCAUAUGUUUUGUUCUAGGUGCGAAUGGCACCAUUGAUGGCCAAGGAGAAAUUUGGUGGAACUGGUUUCACAACCACACAUUGAAUUAUACUAGGCCACCUCUUGUUGAAUUUAUGUACUCCACCAGAGUUGUUGUUUCUAAUUUAACCUUCACAAAUUCACCAUUUUGGAAUAUUCAUCCUGUAUACUGCAGGUUAGCUUUCUAAAUUCUACUUGCUAAUUCGGUAUAUUAUCUAUUAGCACGCAACCAGUUGCGAUUACAAAUUUAUUAUUAAGUGCCUAUGCAAAUAAACAGCCAAGUGCUUGUACAACAUCUCACGAUCCUAGCUCCCAUCAGUUCACCGAACACGGACGGCAUUGAUCCAGGUAUGCCCUUUUUCUGUCUGAAACAUUGAGUGUAUCAUGACUCCCUGAACUAAUUCGUUUUUCUGUCUGAAAUAUUGUGAAGGAAAAAACUGGAAGUAGUAUAGUGUAUGCUGAUGCAUUAGUAUGUCUGUACUCAGAUGCCAGAUCUUCCAUCACAUCUGUGUUUUACGUUGCCUUUGAUACAGUUCCCUGGAUGUUUGAACCACCAGAAAAUUAAAAACCACAUUGAUUAAAUUAAAAUGUUGUUUGCUUUUUAGAAGUCAUGUCAACAUUAGUGUCCUUCAACUAUAAUUUUUCCUUCUUUUUUUUGUUCUUAUCCUUGACUGUCUAUAUUCUCAUAGCAACCAUUUGGUAUGAACGCAAUGUGGUUUUUAAUUUUGGUCAUACUCAUCUCACCCAGAUUCGUCUACAAAUGUCUGCAUCGAAGAUUGCUACAUCAGGAAUGGCGAUGACAUUGUCGUCAUUAAGAGUGGGUGGGAUGAGUACGGCAUUUCAUUUGCUUAUCCUAGCUCCAACAUUAGCAUCCAAAACAUCACUGGGCAGACAAGGAGCAGCGCAGGGAUAGCCCUUGGAAGCGAGAUGUCAGGUGGCAUAUCAAACGUUCGAGCUGUAGGUAUCCGCAUCGUGAACUCGGUGCAUGGGAUCAGAAUCAAAACCGCUCCAGGGCGGGGCGGGUAUGUGAAGAAUGUGUACAUAGCUGAUGUCAGCAUGGACAAUGUUUCAAUAGCCAUCAGGAUCACCGCAAACUAUGGUGAACAUCCUGAUGAUAAAUAUGACAAGAAUGCACUCCCCAUCAUAAGCAAUAUCACCAUCAAGAACGUUAUAGGUGCCAACAUUGGGGUUGCAGGAAUGUUGCAGGGAAUCCAGGGGGACAGUUUCAGCAAUAUUUGCUUAUCAAAUGUUACCCUCAGUACCAAAUCUAUGGAUCCAUGGAAUUGUUCGCUUGUUGAAGGAUACUCAAACUCUGUGUCUCCAGAAAUAUGUGAGGAACUCAGAACCAACCCUGGGCCAGACCAAGUAUGCUAUGAUGGUAACUAUCUAGCAUCAGCAGAAGUACCAUCACAGGCGCCACAGAAGUCGAGUGCUAGUCGGCUGCUAAAUCCUUUCCACAAAUUGGCUUCUGUAAGAGCUUAAUGUCCUCAUAGAUUUUUUUUUGUUGUGCAGUACAUCCUGGAAAUGUUUUUAACUUUUAAGCCUGCCUAUUGUAAUGAAGAUAAAACUGUUGGUGUUCUGUAAUUUUUUUAUAUUCCUGUAUGUAACGGAUUCUUACUUGAAUGCAAAAUCAGCGUGUUCAUCCUAUAAAAAAGGCAGCAUUUUCGUUAUUGCCAAGAAAAUAAAAAUACAUACUUCCUCCGUCCAACAAAGGAUGUCUCAACUUGGAUUAAAUUUAAAUGCAUCUAUACACUAAGUCAUGUCUAGAUACAUUCAAAUUUUGACAAACUUGAGACAUCUUUUCUUGGACGGAGGGAGUAUCAUUUUCUGCUCCAAUUCAGAGGUUGGAAACUUAUCUAUUGACAGCAAAAGUAUUGUUUGGCCAAAUGUGGCUCUGAACUUACUACAACACAGACUAAGGGCAGAUGGCAAAGUAUACUCUUCCUUGUGAUAUUUUUUUCCAGAGUAUACACAAUAGCAAAUUCAACUUCAUUUUUUCCUUCUGAAGUUGAUAAAAGUGCACAAUAAGCAUCCAUCAUGAAAAGAAAAGGAAAAAGAAUAUCUGAACAACCUUUUUGCUUGCAUAUAGGAAAUUGACGCAUCAUCAAAAGGCAAAUGCACUUGAUUUGAUAGUUUCAGAAGGAAUACAAGUUGUUGUUAUUCCUUCUGAACAUCUGAGAGGUACAAAAGAGAUUAGUUCCUUUUCGCUUGUUUAGGCAAGUGGCUGUUUCAGAAAUCCACAGUUUGCAUCUUAAAGAUCCCAAAUAAUCACAUGGAAAAAUAUGGCCAAAUGUGCGCUGUAAAAAAAUGACGGAAGGCGCAACUUAUGUUUUGAACGAUGCAGCUGAGUAAGUUCUAUAAAGUUGUUCUAAAAAGAAGUUGUGCGCCUCCGAAUCUUUGGAAUUUAUCUGUUUGAGAUGAACAACCAUUUGGAAUCACAUGCAAGAACCCAUACAAGUGAAUAAUCGAGAAAAAUAAUUUAAUAUGCAAUUCUGUUCAUAAACAUAAUGAUACAUCUCCAUGGUUGUGUUGGGGCAUAUCAUAUAUCAUGAAAUUAGAAAAUUUAGGUUUGUUAAGGACUGUAUAAGGUAGUAGCCUGUAUGCCAAACAGUGUUGUGGCACAUGAUAAUAUAGAAUUUCAAUCUAGUUCAUAAUCAAGAAAGCUAAUGUGUUUUUUAACAUCAGAUUUAAAUUUGACAAACUACACAUUAUGGCAUUACACAAUAGCAUGGAACAGAAUUGAUUUUCUGUUCACAAGAAAUUAAACAUUCAUCACAAUGAAAAUACAUUAGAAUCGAUAGUUUAAGAAACAAUGGAAACUAGUUAUUUCGGCUUUAACAUGUGCGGUAUCUGUCCAAUGCUCUAAACAUUAGUACAUAUGAAACUUCUCCCUGGUGUUUUCGAAGACUUGCUCAGCAAUGAGGGCUCCAUUGCCUUCGGCCUUCUUUAUCUCCAUGUUGGCUUUCUGAUAGUGCCCAGUGCCUCUCAAAGCAUCAGCAAUGAAGUCAUCAAAUCCAAUGGCAAUGGCUGCUUCCGCCUUGGCUCCAUAGACAAGCCUCUGUAUUGCCCAAUUAGCAGUAGUGUUAAGCAAUGCCAUCAGGUAUUUUUGUAAGGUUAAGGUCCUGUUUGAAUUGAUGGUACUUUUUGUAGGAGCAAAGGAUGAACCUUGAUUCGGGAGAGGUGAACCGCACCGAAGCACAUUGGGCAUGGUUCACAUGAUGCAUAGAUUUCACAAUCUGAGAGCUCGAGCCUUCCAAGCUUUAUGCAGGCCUGAAGUAUGAACAUGCAUUGAAUAUGUGAAAGAAGCAACAAAGAAUGAAUUGAAACUACUAAAGAUUGCAUAAGGAUGUAAGUAUUAGUAAUAGCAGGGCAAGUAUCGCUGACAGUGGGCAUAAGCCUUUUUGACCUCUCUUAUUGCAGUUACUUCAGCAUGUGCAGUUGGAUCAGUUUUCUUUAGAACCAUGUUAUGGCAGCUGACAACUAUUUCAUCGUUACAGACAACAACUGCACCAAAAGGCCCCCCAUCACCACAAUCAACUCCCUUAUAUGCUUCUUCGACUGCUUUUGUUAAAAACUUAUGGUCCCUGUCUUGAACAGCUGUAAAAUUUGCGAAAACUCAAGUUAGUGUUACUCCUGAAACCAAAACAAAUUAGGCAAAAAAUGUGAAAAAUGGACUGGUAAAAACACCACGCAAGCAUGAGAUGCUUGAACUUCCAUUAGUAGCUCGGGCCGCACAACAAGUAAAUCUGAAGAUUAAAAGUUCCAGGUACAGUAAAACUCAUACCUUGAUGAUGACCAGCAAAUGCAGAAGCGACUGAGAUCGUCCCAUCCUUCGACUCCACAACUACAGAAAAGAAAGGCAUAUAUUGAGGACAUGAUUAAUCAAAAGCAGAAAGACCUAGCAGAGAGGAACCUUAAACUCAUGUUGAUUGGUUAAGGCUGCAUUUGUUAUUGCGGUGAAUUCUCAUAAUCCCAUUAGGUCCACCCGCUUUUUUUUCUCUUUAUUGUUUGGCUAUCCUACAUUUUCUGAUUUUCCUGCUUUCGUGUGUUUUUCUCAUGGCAGAUUAUAAAAUGAGUUCAGCGCAGCACAUGUCAGCAACUGCAAACUCAUCCUAAUAACAAAAUUGGUACUCCCACCGCCCCGAAUUAACUGACGUGGAUUUAUAUAAGAAUCUAUACAAAUGCACAUCACUUAAUUCGGGACGGAGGGAUGAAAUGGUGAACUCUAUAGAACAAAGGAUUUGGGUCUACGACAUGUGUAUCUUUCUCCAUUUACUUGAAAAUGUAAUGCCUUACAAGGUAAAAAAAACAUGUUGCAGAAUAAAGAGCAAAGCACACUUGCAAGUGUCAGUCAGAUGUUGCAUUCUUAGAUGCCAUAUGUGUGUUAACGUAACCCAAAAUUAUAUGUUGGCAUAUCAUUGCUUCAUGAUUGUGCGAUAACAACCAGUGCCCUGUUUUUUUUUCCUAAUCAACGAGUUGGCUAGCCUUCGCAAUAUGCAGAACCUUGCACAGGGAGCGCAAUAGUACAUUUGUUGUUAAAAAACAACAAAGCAACCACCAUCCACUAACAUUUGUUUUAGCCUUGAAUGGCAUGAUAUCCUUCCAAUGGCGACAGCAGAGUGAGAUCCGCCUAAUUAAAGAGUCAUUUACGGUAACUAUGCCUCAUUUUUGUAAAAGAUCCUACGACAUUUAUAACUGCAUCCACCAAAGAAAGGCACGUAAAAUGCGUAUGUCGACGGAUUCCAUGUGAAUAGAUUACGGAAUAUAUACUUAGAAACGAAGAAUACACAAUUAACCCAGGUAGAGUUAGGAAAAAGCUUGUUCCAGCAUUUUCCAGCUACAAAACCAGGAUCAAGCACCAACCGAACAUAUACUACUCGUAGAAAAGAAGCACAUGCCAGGCCCAAAUUGCAUUGCAGGUUUCGCUCCUACAAUACCCAGAAGAAAACUCGAGAGACGAAGCGUUAGACCGUGAUUUCCCUUGUACAGGGAUCCGGCAACACACAGGCACGCACGCCGAAAAUCUAAUCCCCGAUUAUCGCGUGGGAAGGGAUGGGAUGGAAUGGAAUGGAAUGGAAGCGUACCCUGGGCCUCUUCCAUGGCAGAGUUCGCGAGCGCGCGCGAGAGAGAGCGAUCCAGGAGCUUUUGGGCGAGGGGGACUGGAGAGAAAGGGCGGAGGGGAUUAGACUUCGACGGUCUGAAAGAUUCUCUCUUUGGUUGGGGACGAUGGCGUGAGCCGGGGGUUGGCGUACCGUCUCGUGCUCGCUUCCUGUGCGCAUAAAUAAGGAAAAGAGAACGCGCGCCUUCGAACGAGACUCUGUUUCUUAUCACUGUAACUCACUGGCAUGUGGGCCGGGUAUAUCUGUCCGUGGCUGAUUGGAUGGAAGGCGUAUCACCGACGGAUCUCGCGCCCGCCAAAGUUCCGUGAACCGGGUCCAGGGGUCGGUGGUGGAUCACGGGGAUCUUUCGUCUCUGCUGCUUUUGCCGCGGUCGACGGUUACUGACACCGGCGCGUGGGCCGCGGGACGUUCUUUCGUAGAACCGGAGCAUGGCUCUGUGCGUAUCCACGUUUUGCACAAGUUCUUAAUCUUUCACUCCCUUCCAAAAAAAAAAACAAUCUUUCGCUGAUACUCCGUAAUAAAAGUUUUGCACAAUGGUGUGUCAUCCCUUCACGUCUCUGGAUUGUUUAUUUUUCUUUUCCCUGCAUUGCAGGAACCACGAGCUUAAUUUCUUCAGCAUUUUUGAUCCUGCGGUUUCGUUGAGUGUUUUUUUUGUUGCCACUUUGCCCCUUUGCGCCAUUUUAAUUUUCCGACAGUUAUUCCUACUCCGUCGGUUCCAUAUGUACUCCCUCCGAUUCUAAAUUGUUGUCGAAAUAUUACAUGUAUCUAGACGUUUUUAAAAAAUAGAUACAUCCAUAUUUGAACAAAUCUGAGUUAAGAAUUUAAGAUCAGAUAAAGUACCCAUCAAGUACUGCAUAAAUUGUGUACUUGAUCCUAGAAUUGCACAUUUGAGAAUGAAGUAUCCGCCCCCGCCGUCAGACCAAGUUUGCAACUCGUUACCAUUUCAAAAAUAUGGAAGGCGGCGAGAUUGCUGUACACUUAUCAGUUAUCAUCUCUUAGCUAAUGCAUACGUGUUAUGUCUAUCUAUUCUACCCUUUGCAAGAGAUAGGCAGAUAAGUGAUAGGACCAUGUGCCUGGCCAUGUGGAACACGUCACCCAUUCAUGCAUCUCCAGCAUGCAUCCUGAUCUUCCAAGCAUACGAGAAAAGCCGGAUGCAGAAAUUAAUUGGAAAAUAAUAAUUAAAAACAGUCCUGCUACAUACUCCUCCGUUCCUAAUUAAUUGGCGCCGGCUGUUUUGCAAAAAAAAUACUGUAACUUUCCGAAAUAAAUUUGCAGUCCACGUUCUAACGGAACUUUUGCCAAAAAGACCUGUUAUUUUUCAAAAUCAACGCGCAGUCCACGUUUAAUUGAAGAUGUGGACUACCGGCGCCAAUUAAUUAGGAGCGGAGGGAGUAUUAAAAUAAGAAGUCAAAGAACCUCCAAUAAAAGUUUAGUGUGGCUAGUCUCUGACGAAAUUGGUCUCUAAAUUUUUAUUUUGUAUUUUUUUGACCUGAUACAUUUGGUACUGAUCCAUGAUAUCUUUUUUAAUGGAAAUAAGGUUGUAUGCAUGUGCAUCCGAGAAUGCAGAGGCCGAGCGGUUUGCCUUCUUUAAAAAGAAUUAAAAACAUAAUCAUUUGUAACGUGACAAGUGGAAUAGACUAAUGAAGAAAAAUGAUUGUUUCUUUUUUUCCUGAGUGGUUCUUAUCAGCACCAAACACUUGUUCAUGCAUAGGGUCACCGGCGGAGCCACCGUGAGGGCACCACGGGCAGGUGCCCAGGCUUCCAGUUCCCGGCGGCGCACCCCAAGGAAAAACAGCGAUUAUGAUGGUGUUAGAUCACCGAAAUCAUGAAAAUUAAGCAUAAGUGCCUAGGCUACAGACUUGAGCUGGCUCCGCCACUGCAUAGGGUUUCCAUCAAACUAAGGACUCCAAAAUCACCGUUAGUUUGACACUUAAGUCGCACUGUCCAAAAAGUAAGUUAAACAUUUUUUUGUGUAUUUCCCCAUGGGUAUGUUGAUAUUAUUUUCCAUGAUUUCUUUGUAGGAGGUUAUGUUGUAACAUCGUGAACAUAUAGAUAAGUUCCAAAGUAGAGCACCAAUUUUGCAUAUGCAAAAUUUAUUCUCUAAUAUUUAAUUAGAAAACGUGUGACUGAAAAAUGAUAUCUUGCAUAAUAAAGAAAAUUGCCUUCUCUUAAGCGCUAAGAGAUUAUCCUGAUCUGACAUAAGACAACCUUCUCUGUCUUCUAACUUAGCAAAAUAUCCACGUGACAUCUUUAGAAAGAAGAUUCCUAUUGUACAAGAUCUCAUCACUCUUUAACGAACAUCAGAUUUUAUCAUGUGUCCCAUUUUACUUUUGACUUUGAUAAUUUGUCCAACCUGUACCACUUACAUGUGGGAUAUGUGGGCCCUUGUAAGUGAGACAAGAUUUGAGCAAAUGAUCAAACAAGUAAAUUUAACUUUCUAGUAGUUUUUAAUUUUCAUGGGAUCCGUAUUUUUUACUUGGACGUGAAGUAGUCAGAUUUACGAUUCAAUCAUGCCAUUCUACUAUUUAACUAUCCAAAUUGGCCGCAUUGAUUCUAUGAUUCUGGUUCGUAUAAUUUAUGUUUUACUAUUCUGAUACUCCCUUCGAUAUAUAAAAAGUGUCGUUCGUUUUGCACCAAGUUAGUACAUAAUUUGUACUAAGUGCGUGACACUUUUUAUGGAUCGGAGUGAGUAGUUUUUUUCUUUUUGAAGAACUAUUCUGAUAGUUAAGAUUCUACAAUUUGUGAUUCUAUCAUAGGUGUUUCAAUCUGAUCUAAAAUGGAGAAGCACCUCUGGGUGUGGUGGUGGAGUUGUAGGUGCACGAUUCCAUCCAUCAGGGUUCAAAUCCUGAUGCUCACAAUAUACGUUAGGGGUUAUCCUACGAUCUUUCCUAAAAAAAAUCUGAUCUAAAAUGACCAUGCUUGAAAUCCUUUGAGGAACUCAAGGACGCCACUGCUGUUGGUCGUGGGGCAAAAGGGAUCCUAUUAUCAUGACACUAAUUUUACAGAGUACAAAAUAAUCUUUGAAAGCAUAUAAGUUCAACUAACUUUUUUUGUAGAGGAACAAGUUCAACUACUCAACUCAAUUCGAGAGUUAGGAGUAACUAACAGGCGAAAAUGAAAAAGAUGGUGCAGAGUGACCGUGGGCCUGGACUCAACUCAAUUCGAAAGCCCAAACAUUAGCACCGUAUGGGCCGGGCCUUUUUUUUUUACAACAUGGACUGAGCCUAGUUAAUAGCCAACUUUACGGGCUUCCCCUAAAAAAAAGCCAACUUUACGGGCAUGACUUGAGGAUUAGAUUUGCUCCAAAAAAAAAAGACUUCACGAUUACAUAUGGCCCUUGCUCCUCUCAAAAAUUAAAAAAACUUGCUUUUAUUAUUUCGAAGGAAAGACCUGUAAUGAUACGCUUCCUCUAAUGAAUGCCGCUAGCUCUAUCUCAAACUCAUCUCCCUUAAAUAAAACCACAGAUAAUAGUUCUAGAAAAAACAUAAACCACAGAUCCAGACAUUACAUAGGCACCCAAACACGACGAACGAAAUCCAAAUACACAAACGCAUAACAACAAUGUCGUCCAAACCGAUCUUCCCCUGGGCCAUCAUCAUCGUAUUCUUCUUCCUCGUCGCCGCCGCGGCAGCAAUUACUACGCCGGCGGCGGCGUCCUCGGCGGACCGGGAGCCGACGUGCGUGCCGACGCUGCAGCGGCUGCUGUCGUGCCUGGACUUCAUCGAGCACCGGACGGACACGAUCCCGCUGCCCUGCUGCGUCCAGGUGAACAGCACGGUGGCCCAGCAGCCGUGCUGCCUCAUGCACGUCCUGCGCGGCGACGUCGGCAGGCUCAUGGGGCCCGAGUUCGACAGCGUCCGCGCCAUGGUCAAUGUCACCACAAAGUGCCUCGGCGACGCCUCCGUCCUUAUGUCCAUCACUCGUUCGUGCGCAGGUUCGUACCCCGAUCCUAAAUUCUUACUCAAAUUUGCUCAAAUAUAGAUGUAUCUAUUCUUAAAAAACGUCUAGAUACAUGUCAUAUUUCGACAACAAUUUAACAUCGGAAAGAGUACUUGCUAAUUUGUGGUUUGAUCGACCUUUGAUCGUACUGAUUUCUACGUUCUUCAGGUAAGCCGCUGCCGCCGCUGACACCUGAAUAUCCCUUCAGUACCGCAUUGCCGGCAACGUCUUCAUCGGGUGAGCAAUCUGUUUCCUGGACAAUUUUGAUUGUGCUCUUUAUAUUAUUAUUUUUUUCCUUUGCAGGAGCUAUCGAUCGAAUAUUGGUUUUGAUUGCUCCUUUUUUUUGUUACCUUUGCAGGAGCUUUGCGGGCAGAAGGAUGGUCUUACGCCUCGUUGAUACUUGCAUUUGUUGCAAUCUUCGUCUAAUGAUUUUAGCGGUCGAUCGGAAUUGGCGAUUAGCUUACUGAAUUCAGAUAAAUCUUUGUAUAUCUACUGCUGAACAUAGUGGAAUUAGGCCUUCUCUUAUUUAUUUUUCUUUCCCUGAUGUUGGACUGUUGAGUGUGAUAAAUAUGGUCAAUUUGUAGUUUCUGAUUUUUUUAGGGAAUUAAAUCUUUGUGUAUCUACUGCUGAACAAAAUAGAAUUAAGCCUUCUCUUAUUUGGACUGUUGAGUGUGAUAAAUAUGGUAAAGGGUUACAUGCGCGCCAACGCACGUGCGUCCUGACAGGUGGGACGGUCAUCGUUAAUGACAGGUGGGCCGAGGAAAGGCGGACCGCUGGGGCCGAGCAAGAGGAUGACAGGUGGGCCGAGCCAGAGGAUAAAAGGUGGGACGAGGCUUCAGAUGACAGGCGGGGCCAGUGUCAUCUUUCCUUAUGUGUGGAGUCUACUUGCUCUCCUUUACUCUCACCCAAAUCCCGACCAGAACCCUAAAUCGGCGGAAGACGGCGGCGGCACUGCGGCUAGUAGGUGUGUAGAAACGAACGGGAGGCGGCGACGGCGAGUACUAACCCACCUCCGUACCACAACGUCGGUAGCUGCCGCCGAUUCGCGGAGGAGAUACUUUGCCGUGGGGAGCCUGAAAUCCGGCCCGAUAUGGCCGAGAUAGUGAUUUCCCGCACCUCCGGAAUGGAAGAGAAGGCGGCGAGGCUGCGAGGUAAAGCCAUCGUUGCUACCAUCCAUAUAGGAUCAGCGCUCAAUUCGCCGGCCACUUCGGCUGAAGAGGUCAUGGCAGCUCUCAAGCAGCGCUGCAACUUCAAAAGGGGAGUGCGCAUCAUGGUAUGUCCUGCACCCGACAACUUUCUGAUUCGCUUUGAUUCGAGUGAUGAUUGCACGGCACGGUGAUGCAAUCGAUGCGCAUCAGGUGCCCUGCCGGCGACAUCUCGUUUCGCCGCUGGACCUCCAUCUUCCGUGGAGAGGAGUCAAAACUGCCUUUUAGCUAUGUUCUUAGCUUGGAUGGACUGAUGGAGGAUGCGCAAGAGUUGGAAUUUGUGAAGAAUUUGAUUAAUCAGCUAGGAGGCGAGUUCGUGGCAAUUCUGCCUAGGACUGAUCCGCGCUGUGUCAAGCUCAGGACAUGGAUGCGUGAUCCUUGUGCCAUCCCGAAGCGGUUGCUGAUGAGAGUGCCUCUUCGGCCACACAACCAGCUCCUCAAUAUGCUGAUGAGCUCAUGAUGAUUCAAUUGCAGCGGGGGCAGAACCAGAAACCAGACGUGCUGUGUCGUUCAACGUCAUCAUCCACGUCCAUGAAGUGGUCGAUAGGUUUCAUCUUCUUACUGAUGGUUCGGACCACAACAAUAGGGACUACUCUGAUUCUUCUUCAGAUGAUGAAGCUUAUCUGGACGAUGGUGGUUCUGGAAUAAGGCGAGGAGAUCUCACUCGCCUCCAUGAGUUCCCCUGUUUUGCUAGCGCUGUAGAUGGCUCAGGUCCUCCAAAAGGAGGGGUUAAUCCAUGUUGAUUUUGAUGUAUGUUGUGUAUGUAUUAGUUUGUUGUCCGAAGACUACCUAUUUGUACUGAUCAAGAGCAGGUUGUUGCUCUUAUCUGAACCUGUGCAUGUACUGUUAUCGGCACUUAUCAUUUCCUAUGAAUUUCUUUCGCAAUUUAACUUCCUCCAGAUUGAUUUCUGACUGCACAAAUAAAUAGUGAAUGGAAAGUUAUGCAAGAUUAUCAAAUUUCAAUAUGUUUUGAGAAGGUUGACUUUUAUUGACCAGGAAAUUUAUAGCGACAUUUGGUUGUCCUAGCCAGGCCUGGCUAACGAGCAUGCUCGACUCGUUAAGAGCUCGGCUCGUUAUGCUCGUUAACCUUAACGAACAUCGAAGCCUGUUCGGCUCGGUUCGUUUACUGCUCGUGAGCGCUCGUCGGGCGCUCAUUAAGCUCGUUAGUGGUGAAAAAAAUGGGCAGCAUCUACGCAGAAAAAAUGACAAGCAAAGCAUGUGUACAACAUUAUAUAAUAAGUCCAUAACAGAUAAGACUAAUAACCAUUACAGGCUACAACAUAAAUACUCAUAAGAGUAGUAGCAAUUACACAGCUUCGGUGUCCUCAUACAGUACAAUACAGAAGCACUAAUAAGACUAAUAUUAGUUUGACGAGAGUACGAGACUCUGGACCCGACUGACCUAACGAGUCUUGGGCUUGGCCUGUUCGACCUAAAGAGCUUAAGGGUGUGCUGCGCCUAAGAAGUCGUGGGUUACUAUGUUUGGUUCGACCGCCAGACGUCAGAUAACGAGCUAACGAGCAUGCUCACGAGUCUCGCUAGCUUGGCUCUUUAAAUUCUUUAGUGUUAACGAGUUUCAAGAGGUGCUCUACUCAACUCUUUAGUCUAACGAGCCGAGUACCAAACGAGUCGAGCUACUCUCCGAGUACCGAGUAAAAUGUUCAGGCCUAGUCCUAGGCCACCAAAAUGCACAAUUUUGGAGGAAGCUUAGAAAGUGAAUUCGCUCCAAAUUGAUUUCAGACUGCACAAAUGAAAUCUGAAUGGAAAUUUAUGCAAGAUGACCAAAUUUCAACUUGUUUUGUGAAGGUUGACUUUAGUUGACCAGGGAAAAAAUAGCCACAUUUGGCUGUCCCAGCACACCAAAAUGGCUGCAGUUGGAAGAACCCCCAAGAUUCGCUCCAAAUUAUUUUUUGAUUGCAUCAAUAGAAAGUACAUCUAAAGUUGAGAACACUGGUGAAAUUUCAUACCCAUUUGAGAAAGUUCACUUCGUGUUGACCAAGAUUUAAAUCCACUCAAAUCCAUUCAAAUCUGCAAAAGUAAAGAGUGUUUUUGAACUUUUCUUCGAGGAGUCAAGUACUAACAAUGUUUGCAUACUUCCAAUAGCUGUUCCACAACUUCAAAUCAUGUAUGUCGUAUCAUUUUGGCCCAAACACAACAAAUUUACCUGAAUUUGAAAUUCAAAAAAAUAUGAAAACACGUCCAAAUUGAAAAUGCUUUUGCAUACAUGCAAUACAUACCAAAUUUGCUUGGCGUGCCAAAUUUUACAAGAUUUGGACAAAAUUUUAAAUCCAAAUGUCAAAAUGAGUUCAUUUCUCCAACAUCUCCCUAUGUGGUGCAAUGUACAUGAAGUACAUUGUGAAAUUUAGAUAAUGCUCUGAUAUUUUUUAUGUGAUGAAGUAUCACUUAAAGUUGACACUUGCAGAAAAUCAUAAUUUAUAAUUUUCGGACAACUAUUUCAUAUUAGUAACAUUUUUAUACUUUUGAGUUAAGUGUAAAUCACAGUAAUCAAGGUAUAGAACAUUUAAUUUUCAUUUCUGAAAUGGUUUGCUAAUUUUUCAAUAUCAAAUUCACUAAAAGUUACUUGUUUUUCACAUUUUUGAUGUCAAACGUGUGCAACACUAAUCCCAAAAGAUUUAGGCAGCUUUGUGAGUGCAUCACAAGUGUUACCACCAAAUAUGAGAUUUUCUGAACUUGAGAUACUAUAUCUUCGUACAUUCUUUGAAAAAUAGAUAAACCCAUAGAACUCAUAGAACUCAACAGAAAUGAUGAGAAAAUCAAUGAAGAAAAGUUGUGUCUGGACCAUACAAGUCGAGCAAAAUUGGAUUCCAUCCGGUUCAGUCCAAUUUCAAACCUAUUUGUGCAUGAAAACAGAAAUUUCAGCACACCAAAAUGGCUGCAGUUGGAAGAACCCCCAAAAUUCGACCUUCUCCAAAUUAUUUUCUGAUUGCACCAACAGAAAAUACAUCAAAAGUUAAGAACAUUGGUGAAAUUGUAAACCCAUUUGAGAAAGUUGACCUCGCGUUGACCAGAAUUUAAAUCCACUAAAAUCCAUUCAAAUCUGCAAAAGUAAAGAGUUUUACUGAAGUUUUCUUCGAGGAGUCAAGUAUUAACAAUAUUUGCAUACUUCCAAUAGCUGUUCCACAACUUCAAAUCAUGUAUGUCGUAUCAUUUUGGCCCAGACACAACAAAUUUAACUGAAUUUGAAAUUCAAAAAAUAUGAAAACACGUCCAAAAUUAAAAUGCUUUUGCAUACAUGCAAUACAUACCAAAUGUGCUUACUGUGCCAAAUUUUACAAGAUUUGGACAAAGUUUUAAAUCCAAAUGUCAAAAUGAUUUCAUUUCUCCAACAUCUCCAUAUUCAUGAAGUACAUUGUGAAAUUUAGACAAUGAUCUGAUUUUUUUUACGUGAUGAAUGUAUCACUAAAAAUUGACACUAUUGAGUUAAGUCUAAAUCACGGUAAUCAAGGUAUAAAACAUUUAAUUUUCAUUGAAACCUAUAUGUUUGUGUUCUAAUAGGUUACAUUGGGUCCAUUGGACCUUUCUUACAUUAAUUUCUUGUGGUAAAUGUAUUGAAAAAAGUGAUUUUUCAUUUAAUACCGAAAUGUGCUGAAAAUCCAAAAUAUGUACGAAAUAUAGUAAAAUUGCUCCAGAAAUUCUUUGAGAAGAACAAGUAACAUGUAAGUUUACCAAACAAAAAUUCUUAUAUGUUCUAAACCUUUAUUUACAAACGUUUUGGACCAAACACUAUAUAUAUAGUUCAUCUCUCCAGCAUUACAUAUAGAAAUAUAUAAAAAAAAGGAAAAAUACAUAUGGAAUUUCAUUCCACGCUCCUAGUGAUCUUCACCAAAGCCUUUGUACAUGUCUCCAGUGUACCGAUCAACGAUCGGAGCACUUCCACGGAGACUUGUACCGUCGGCGGUGGCGGCGAGGGUGGCGGUAGCGUUGGCGACAGCGCUGGCGGCGACGCACAGCGCGACAGCGGGGCCGUAAGAGCUGCUGGAGGCGCCGGCGGUGGAGGAGGCGGUGGCGGUGGUGCAGGUUGCGGGGCCGGUUAACGUACCACCGACGGAGGAGCAGGCUGGGCCGGCGAUGAAGACACGGCCUUCCUUUUACAGCUACCUCGCUUGACGCCAGACGUUGGCGGAGGCGGAGGCGGAGGCGGCGUCGGAGUUCGACGCCGUGGUGGAGACCGACGGCAUCCACGACCACGGUGGCCAGUGUAGCGCCGCCUACUACGGAGUUCAUCUUCGUCCGAUGAAGUCAAGAAUGUCGUCCGUCGGUACGGACUCUCUCCGUCGAGCUCCCUAUUCUUCGCUUCAAUGGAGGAGCACUGGAAGGAGUCCCCAGACCACCGCGCCAUGUCGAUGAAUCUUUGGUAUCAGGGAAGAAGGCUAGAUGGAAAAGCCAGAAUGAUGGCACGGAAUAUAUAGGAACAGAGCUCUUUUGAGAGACUUCCGCACGUCCCCGCAAGUCAAGCUCCCUAUUAAUUAAGGAAUAUUGAAGGCCAGAGGGCACGCAGGAACACAUCAGUUUCCCAUGCAAGUCCCUGCAACUGCCCACGCACGCCGGUUUCCCAUGCAAGGCCGCCGCGCAUGCCGGUUUCCCAUGCAAGGCCGCCACGCACGCCUCCGCAAGUCAAACCGCUCCGGCGAAGAGCCCAACUCGCAUUCAUGCAAACCGCUUUCAAAGCCCACCACCCAACACUCAUCACCGGAAACCACUCCCCUUCCCCUUACCAUCGCUAUUUAACCCGGCGCCAUGCCACUACUUCUUUCUAUUCUUCUCCUUCUUCUACACAUCUUCACCUCUCUCCACUUCUUAUGUGCGGUUAACUGACGGGCAAUGGCAUUCCAAGGCCGCACCUUCAACCCGCCGCCCCUCAGGGAGGAGCAGUUGUUCCCACCGCGCGUGCUUGUGGAGCGUACGCUCCAGGUGUGGGGGAUGCCGCGCAGCAAGAGCCCGAUGGCGCUGGUCGAGGACUUCCUCCACACCGGUUUCUUACACCGGGAGGCCGUAGGCUCUCCAAUGUACCGCAUGGAGCAGCUCCGAGAGGAUGGCAUCGACACGGCCAUCCUAGUGCACCUCACCAACAGCCACGACACCGAGUACCUCCUUGGCCGCGUGUACUGGUGUGGAUGCGAGUUUAUCGCGUUACGAUGUACAACGUGUACACCAACACGGCGAACAAGUUCCCCCACGCCGGCCAGAUGCACGGCCUCCCGUACAUCGUGCCGGAGGUGGCGCCUGUGGAGGGGCCUGCCCAGCCUAGCGUGGCAGCAGAGGAGGAAGCCUACGGCCAGGAGUGAUCGGCCGCGUUGUUGUGAUUGUAAAAUUUUAUAUGAAUGUCGUUAAUUGUUAGAAUCUGCACUUGAUGUUCUAUGAUGAUGAAUUGCUGUGGUGUGAUUGUAAUAACCGCUUUAUUGAACUGCCUGUGAUGUGAUCGCUUCCAUAAUUGUGAUCGUAAAGUUUUAUAUCAAUGUCGUUAAUUGUUAGAAUUUUCUUUCUUCGAUUAGACUAUGUAGAAGCCCCUUUGCCCGUUUGGUUCUGACGGGCGAGCCCACGGAGGCGUAUCUGGCGGCGCCGUUGCCGGGGCGAGCACGGAGGCGUAUUUGGCGGGGGCGGCGGCGUAUUUGGGAAAGGGAUGAGAGAGAUAGGCGACGGACCCACCUGUCACUUUGUUUCGUCUCCAACAUGUAAGUUAAGUCGACCGUCCCCACCUGUGAGGACGUGGCCUGCAUGUAAGGUAACCAGACCCGUUAAGACCUGUCCGCUUGCACUCUCUCCUCGCAGCCCCACACGCCAGAAACGCGGCUCUGGACCCACCUGACAGCACUCCCAGCGGCCCACCCGUCAGAACCAAACGGGCAAAGGGGCUUGACCGUUAGGAGGUGCUCCGUGAGGGCAUUUGUAAGGAAUCGCGAACGAACAAGUGUAGCAGCGAGCACUGUUUUUUGCCUCGCGUAUAACUGAGUACAGGUAAGGAAAGAGGGGCACAGAAAUAAAAAAAUCCUACGAUAAAUUUGUAGUUUCUGAUAUUUUUUUUAGGGAAUUUGUAGUUUCUGAUUAUCUGGCCGUGUCCCACGAUCGGUGCUGAAAAGAGACCCACACUUGUGUGCGCCUUUCCUGGACUGCCAUAUCACAUGGGCAUGUCUUGUUUGAGUAACAUGCGCCAUUAGUGACUGAACUUCAGUCGUCUAUCCAAUCCAAUCCAAUCAUCAUACUCUGAAUACGCUCGUCUGGUCCAUCAAACUAAUAAUAAUGUGCAAUAUAAUCCGAUACGGCCGAGAGAUUUGUAUUUAAUGAUGUGACUGCUUUCUGACAGACAUGGCCCACAAACUUUUUUUCCAAUUCAUCUCAUCCCCUUUCCUUCCUUCACUCCGCCACCUCCAGCACCACCCACCGCGUGUCCUCGUCGUCCUCUCUGCUCCCGGUCGCAGCAACUCGCCGCAGAUGCUCCCGGACAUCCCAGUCGGUGCGUCGUCGAACGUCAGGUGUACCACGCAGAUGCUCCCGCGGCCAGGAGUGCAAACCCGGAGGCCGCGCCGACGGUUCUUGAUGUGGUCUCGAUGGGUGCCUCGCUGCUACUGCCUUGUGGUUCAUAACGCUCUGGCGGCGGCAGUGUCAUCGAAGAUGCAACAUUGCUCCGGCGGAGGAGGGUUCGAGCUCGACUCCUCAACAGUAGUCGAUGCGGGUGUUACUCGAGUUCAACGUCUUGCGGAGCGCUCAGCCGGCAUCGAAGAAGAAGGCUCUUGUAGCACGCUCACACGUUGCCUACUCCUGCUCCUCCCCCGUCGUCGCUGGAGAAGAAGAGCUGACGGGGCCAUCGGCCCUCUCUCACGUGCUGGUGGAGGAGCUGGUCAUGGUGUUGGAUUUGGUUUGAAGGGAAGAGUUGGAGGGGGUUUCCCGUAAAAAUGCCAUCACCCAAUACCUGUCAGUCUGUGGACCCUGCCUAUCAGAAAGCCGCCACGUCAGCAAACUACGUGUCUCUCGACCAUGUUUUUUUAGUUCGGUUGCACAUACAAGACAAGUUUAGUGAAUGACAGUGCAUUCUACUUAUCCCUUUUCCACCUUGUAAGAACAACUUUUGAUUUGUAUUUUGUCAAAUUCUCGACCUUAUUACCAGCAAAUAGCUAUCUCAAGUCAACGAGUUGACAUUAAGGUGUCAGACAAUUAUGAUAAUUUUUCUAAGGUUUUGUUUGGAUGUAAAUAUUAAGAAGCUUGAAUUUGAAUUGUCUUGAAUACCAAAUCAGCAAUGAAACUAAAUUGGACCUGAAUCGCAAUUCUAAAUACCAAAUCACCAUUCGCUCGAUAAGAGUAGAGAAUGGAUACUCACGUCCUAAUAGAGUCGAAGAAAUAAAUUAUUCUCCUAUAAAAAACACACGGUCCCAAUUAUACCUGGGCAUGGGUGGCCGGCCCGAAGCCCGAUGUCCCGGGCCGGGCUCGGGCCUCCCUUUCCAGUCCCAAGCCCGGCCCGAAAGCCCGAAAAAAGCCUGAAAUGACUAAAAACGGGUAUUUUUUAGAAAAAAUAGGUAUAAAAAUCAUUUAUUUAUUCUGAAAAUAAUUAUUUUAAUGCUUAAAUGGCUUAUUUUCUGAAUUUUGGGCUGGGCUUCAGGUUUGACAGUCAGGCUUUUAUGAAGCCCGGCCCGAGGUUUGCCCAGGUAUAGUCCCAAUAAACCCAUCUUAAAGAUCUAUGUUUGAAAUUUUAACAAAAUCCAACUUUUUUUAAAUAAAAAAGACCGAGAAACGCCGCAAUUCAUGGCGUUCGCACCAUAAUCCGUGUUUGCAUCCUUUACGGAAACACGUAGUGUUUGCCUCUGAAUCUCCACGCGUAAAGGGAUGCAUGGCCAUAUGACUGAGAAAUGCCCCAAUUCAUGGAGGUGUGGUAGGGGGCAGAGCCAUCUCACCGGCAGCGACAUACUCGCACGUGCGCGAGCGAGGCAGUGCGCCGAGGUGCCCUACCCUGGCACACCAUUGGUCUCCCUGCCUUCUGGGUUUUGUACUAAAUCAAAAUAUUAAAGUUUGACUAAUUUUAUUGGAAAUCUUAGCAAUAUUUAUGACACUAAAUUAGUAUCAUUACAUAUCUUUUGAAAUGUAGUUUCAUACUAUACUAACUUGAUGUCAUAUGUGUUACUAUUUUUUCCGACAAAGUUGAUCAAACCUAAUUUUUUUUUGACUUGAGACAAAACUCAGAAGUAUGCUUAUCUGUGGACGGAGAAACUACGCACACCUCCGGAUGGCACCGGGACGAAACCCACCGGGUAGUGGCUGCCCAAACCCAUUCCCACGACCCUGAACCCAGCCCCGUCCUUGUACCCGUCCCCGGUCACGGGUUUUUGAAUUUUUCCAGCCCCGUCCCCGUCGGGGAACCCGAACCCGUUUUCUACACAGCCAAAAUAGCAGGAGCAACAUUAAAGAAAAACAAUAGAAUUUGAGUACCAUUCACACACAUAUGACAACAGCAACAUGACAACAUCAUUUAAUAAGACGACAGCAUAUAGUUCUCACAAAAUAGACGAUCUCAUACAAGUUCACACAAAAUAGACGACGAUCUCAUAAAAGUUCACACAAACACGCAAACGAACAUAAGCAUACAAGCUGACAACAACACAACAUGGUCCAAACAUACUAGCGGCUGUAUGUGGAGAAUAGGGAAUUUGGGUGGGGAUUUAGAGUUAGGAAUAAUAUAUAGGUAGCGUUUGGGGUAAACAUAUGGAUUGGGUCACUUAUAUGGGCUAUGUUGAAAUAUUCAUGGGUUUCAUCGGGUUUCGGGUUCGAGUAGUGCUGUCUCGGGUCUAAACUCGUGAAACCCGCUAGGUUUCUAUUUUUACCGAUGUACAAACCCGCGGGGAUUAAAUUUGACACAAACCCGUCCCCAAAUGGAGUAAAAACCCGCGGGUUUUUGGUUUUCGGGUUUCGGGGGCCCAUUACCCAGCCCGCUUCACUGCUCCCUGCUCGCAAGUAGCUUCACUGAACUUUCAGGGCUCUGUGCGCCGUCAAAGCUGCCCUGCUUGCUUGCCUGCUGCCUGCCCGCCCGGGUCCUCUCAUCCAUUAAUAUACAUGUAUAGUUUCUUCAUGUCCGUAAAUGAAAGAUCGCGUCUAGCAAGUGGUUUGCAUGUACUACGUGUGUAUGAUAAGAGGUUGCGGAAAUUGGCUAGUUUCUCAACAAUACCGCUUUUGUUAAAAAAAUCGUAAGAAAGAUCCAUGCAGUAUAAAUAAAAACAUAAAUUUGCAUCUGUGGGGACUUGAACCCUUGAACCCAGAUAGUGGAAUCAUGCAUUUUUCUCAACAUGCAACCGUGCACCUCGUUAGGCCCACCACAUGCAAAUCAUGCAUGCCACCUCAUAAAGUCAUGCAUUAUUUUUUUUUGAAGCCAUGCAUGUAUUCAUUUGCAUUUUUGUAUUAUUCUCAAUUCAAACCAUGCUGCCACAUUAAUUCAAUCAUGUUUUCUUACUUUGAAAAAGUUUUUCUCUUUUUAUACAUCAUUUUGUCACAUAUUUCUUAGGCCAGAUUGUUUUUUAUGUAAAAUAAGAACAUUUUAACAUAUUUUCCAAUAGUUUUAGUUAACUUUAAGCAUUUUUAUAUACAUUUGUGUUAACAUGUUUCCGCAGCAACACGUGCGAUAUCAUCUAGUACUCUCUCCGUCACAUAUUAAGUGACUUUUUAUUGCAUGUAUCUAGACGCUUUUCAAACUUAGAUGCAUUCAUAUUUGGGCAAAUUUGAGUCCUUUAAUAUGGGACGUACGGAGUACAGUAUAUAAAGCAUGGGUGAUAAUUUCCCCAAAAAGAGCUGGAUGGGAUGACAUUCAGGUUGGUAUAGGUAGGUAAAAAAGAAAGAAAAACCCAAUGCCGUGCAGAUGUGGUACAAGAAAAAUAUUUGAAGGACUUGACUAAGCAGCAGCAGCAGCAACAGCAAGUUCACGUCUUUUCUCCUCACUUCGUCUAUAGCGGUUAGCAGGCCCGCGGAUCCUUGAAAAUUAUGCCACAUCCUCCGGACUCGACCUCCUCAAGUCGUUUUCUGAGUACACGUUUCACACUUUUGUCGCUUUCACUCAUCCCUUCCAAAGCGAAAAAAGGCAAAAUCUUGUGCCUUCCUCCUGCCUGGCUUUGAGUUGAUUUUCUUUCGUUCUUCCCAACAAGCAAAGUACACAAUUCUGGGUGAUACGGUAGAAGUAUAUAUUUUUACUUUAUUUUUAUUCUAAAAAGUGUAUUUUCCUAUAUAAUAGUAUCAGCUGUCAAAGGUACAAAGAUUUCACUGCGUGGCAAACGUGAUGAGCGAUCUAACAAAGAGGUACAAAAUUUCAACUACGCAGUUUCUAGAACACCACCUAUUUCUGAGAGGUAGUAUUCAAAAUGUUUUGUCUGUAGCUAAAUAGUUUGAUGACGUGCCUCUAAUUAUGGGUUAUCAAAUUUAGUCUACCCAUAUGCAUAACACGUAAGAGAAGGGGUUAAUUUUUUUUUCUUUUACAGCAAGUGGUGGAGUAAUUUGUUGGUCAAUAAUUUUGUCUAUAGCUAAAUGCAUAUACAGGAUCAUACUAGUUCUUUUAAUAUAUUUUCCAACUAAAUUAUUAUGCUGCUAUAUAUUUGUUCCCUGGCGUCAAUAAUGUUCUCAUUAAGGAAAACAGGAGGGGGUGACUGCAGUAUUUUGUUUUUUAGAGUAUCACCUGAUUUCGCCUCCGCGAGGAUUCGAGUCUAGAGACCGGGGGCAUACAUUUACUUGCUCAACUAAAUGAGUUAGUGGCGCUUCACAUAUUGUUGUAUUGCCGUGCAAAAGAGCAAUAUAACUGUAUUUCUUGAUUCAUUUCACCCUGUUUCACUAUGCACUAGGGAUUUAGGUAAUAUUGGAACUUAUUUUUUUUUCAAUAUAAAACUUCAUCUUCAGCAUAUUUGCAAGGUCACGAUCUAGAAGAAAACUGAAAUAUAACAAAAUCACGUACAUACUACUUUGUGCUAUUUUUCGUUAUUUUUUUUUGGCAAGAUCAAGUCAUCUUAACAUCCACAGAAGAACGAACACAUACGUAUGCUUCGGUGCACUAGACAAGAAGUGACCACAUACAUCAUGCAUGCAAUGGAAAUUUGCCGAGAUAUAUAGAGGAAAAAUAAUGAGUCAUGUACACGAGUAAUGUACAUAGAGAUACAUAUAGGAAAAAUAAUGAGUCACGGCACACGAGUAAUGUACAAUAAUCACAAAAGUAGAAAUACUCAUCAUGCGUGCAUGAAACAACAUGAAUUAAGAACAUAAUACAAGAAAUACAAAAAGGAUGCAUCAUCUCUAUCUAGACAUAGCCUGAUGCGAUGUCAAGCCACUUAUUCAAGAGAUAGCACGCUGUGGCGAUACAUAGCUAGCUCCAUCCAGGUGUCUCCUCAUUCAAUUGUCAUAUAUGUAUAGAGAGAGAGGAAGAGAUCAACUGUCGGUUGUCGGCGGUUUGCGCUUCGGUGGCGGCUCAGGCUUUGGUUCGGGUUUGGGUUCUGGUUUAGGCAUCGGUUCAGGCUUGGGCUCGGGUUUUGGUUCAGGUUUAGGCAUGGGCUUAGGCAUGGGCUCAGGCUUUGGUUCUGGUUUAGGCAUUGGCUUAGGCUUGGGUUCGGGUUUUGGCUCUGGUUUGGGCAUUGGCUCAGGCUUGGGUUCUGGUUUAGGCAUGGGCUCAGGCUUUGGUUCCGGUUUAAUUGGCUCAGGCUUCGGUUCCGGCUUAGGCAUUGGCUCGGGCUUGGGCUCAGGUUUUGGCUCAGGUUUAGGCAUUGGCUCGGGUUUGGGCUCAGGUUUAGGCUCAGGUUUAGGCACUGGCUCAGGCUUAGGCUCGGGUUUAGGCUCAGGUUUAGGCACUGGCUUAGGCAUGGGCUCGGGUUUUGGUUCCGGUUUAGGCAUUGGCUCAGGUUUGGGCUCGGGUUUAGGCUCGGGUUUAGGCAUUGGCUUAGGCAUGGGCUCGGGUUUUGGUUCCGGUUUGGGCAUGGGCUCUGGUUUUGGCUCGGGUUUUGGCAUUGGCUUAGGCAUGGGCUCUGGUUUUGGUUCCGGUUUAGGCAUCGGCUCAGGUUUCGGCUCUGGUUUAGGCAUUGGUUUGGGCAUUGGUUCCGGCUUGGGCUCUGGCUUCGGCUCGGGCUUGGGCAUGGGUUCAGGUUUGGGCUCAGGUUUCGGUCCCGGUUUGGGCAUUGGUUCUGGCUUCGGCUCAGGUUUCGGUUCAGGUUUAGGCAUGGGUUCAGGUUUCGGUUCAGGUUUUGGCUCUGGUUUUGGCAUGGGCUUGGGCUCCGGUUUUGGCAUGGGUUUUGGUUCCGGCUUUGGCUCUGGCU